rnacentral:lncRNA from 1 species
UAAUAAUAAAGUUGUAGUUAUUUCUGUACCAUGUAUUUGGCGACUCAGAAUGGGUUGGAUGGAAUGGACCUAUUUUGGGGGCGUCACAAUUAAAAUAUAAUAAGAAGAUGAUAUAUUAUUGUGCGAUAAUUAAAUUUUACACAGAAAAACAAAUGAAUAUACAUUAUAGGGGGUAGUGGUGAGAGUUUAACGGUUUGUGUAUUACACUCUAAGUAUGUGACUAUUGCUUUUAAGCUAGUGGUAAAUUAAGUGACCUCAACUUGAUGUGGCGAAAAAAUGAGACCUUUGAAGGAACCAAAAGUAAUGCCCCCACAACCAUUUCAUUUUGCACACUUGUGAAUGUUUCUGUAUUGCUCUCCUGGCACCUUUUUAUUUGUUCUUCAUAAUAAACUAUUUAAUUUUUAAAAGCUAUUUCAUAUUAGUGACAAAAGUCACAAAACUUUGUAGCAAAAUCAAAUACGUAGCCCCAAUCACAUCUUUAUCAAUCUAACACCACACUGCGCCACUCCCUUAAAAACUAUUACCGGAAGCACAACCUGAAUACAAUCUUUAAACAUUACUUGGUAUGAAAUAUUCAAUAGGGAUUGUGUGCAAUUAGGGAUCCAAAAUGAGUGACCUAAAAGUAGAAUUCAAGAAAAAACAACCCCCUAAUAACUUAUACACCAAGCUCUUAAGAGCAAAAGUAGUCGUUGAUUAGACUAUAAAAAUCAUGGAAGUUGGUUUAUAUACUUUGUGGUUUUAAUGAUGACAAUAUUUAUAUGGGCUUAAUUGAUUUUAUAUUGACUUAUAAUUGGGUCAUGUUAUUCAAAUAUGUUUAUGUAUAUUAAUUAUAUAAUAUAUAAUAGUUUGCAUGGGUUAUUGCAUGGAUUAAUCACAUUGGGUUAUGCAUAUUAAUUAUAUAAUAUAUAAUAGUUUGCAUGGGUUAUUGCAUGGAUUAAUCACAUUGGGUCAUGCAUAUUAAUUAUAUAAUAUAUAAUAGUUUGCAUGGGUUAUUGCAUGGAUUAAUCACAUUGGGUCAUGCAUAUUAAUUAUAUAAUAUAUAAUAGUUUGCAUGGGUUAUUGCAUGGAUUAAUCACUUUGUUUCCUAGCUCACGAAAGUUACUGCAGUAUUGGAGUGAGUAAAUCAAGUUGGUUAUUUUUGUCACAUGCUUUAAGUUUUUAUAUAGAAUAUAUAUCCAAUCCUGAUUUGCUUUGAAGACUAAUUCAAAUUGGAGUAUUUUAAGGAGAUUGAAAAUCUGUUUAAUAUUCCUUAAAUUUCUCAUUUUUAAUUGAGGGAUUAUAUCCUUCCAAUAUAUAUAUAUAUAUGUUAUAUAUAUUGAGCUACCAAUUUAUACGUAAUUGAGAGAUCUUUUAGGAAUUGGUUUUAUUAAGGAUUCUUAUUUAAAGUUGAUGGAGCUAUUAUUUUGUCACAUACUAAAACAGUAAUUGCUAUUUUUAAGGGAUCUUGUUAAUUGCUAAUAGGAUUCUUUUAACUAGUAUUUGAUUCCUAAUUGACUUCUUCAUUGUAGACACUCGAAAUUUUCUUCUCCUGUUACUAACCAUGCAGGAGGACAAAAACGUCUUUUUCACUCUCCAGAGAUAACCCUGGAGGACCACAGAAUCAAUUCCAACCCCGAAGAUAGCCACAAGAGAUCCAGUUUUUCAACCCCGAAGAUAACCCUGGGAAAUUAGGUUCUAAACCUCGGAGAUAACCUAGGAAAGGUCAGUUUCAACCUCGGAGAUAGCCCCGGGGGAUCAAGAUCAAAGCCUGGAGAUAGCACUAGGAGGUCAAGCCAACCUCAGAGAUGACCCUGAGGAUAGUCAAAGUCAACAGCAAGCCAACCUCAGAGAUAACCUUGAGAAAAGACUGCUACAACUGUGCGAAAACUAGAGAUAACCCCGGGAGGGGCAAAAUGGUCAUUUUGCCAACUCAACUACACUUCAAAUCAAAUACACUCAUGUCAACUCAAAAUGCUUCAAAGGAAGUCCCACAAGAACCAUAUCUUAACUUCCGAGCGCAAACUACGCAAAACGGCUCAACGGACUGCCUGACAGAAACUCGGGAAUACCAUUUUGGUCAUGGACCCAUCUUCCUGGAAUCAAAAAAGGUCAAAUCAUAUAUCAUUGUGUAGCUCUCGUAAAGAGCUUUCUAGAAUGAUAUGGCACGCUUCCAUCGGACUCCCGGAUUGAAAGUUAUACGCGACCGAACGAACAGCGCGUACGUACUUCGACACGGCGGGACCCACACUGCCUGGGGCACCCCGGGAAGCCUCUGGUACACCUGCGGCUCCAACCUCUAUAAAUAGAGGGCUUGGGGUGGCCAUUUUGCAAGAGAAAAAGACGGGGAAACCCUGCACAAUUCGCUCUGCACUCGCCCAUACAGUGUAUUUUUUCACUUUUAAACACCUGUGAGCUCAUAUAUAGCCUCUUUUGUACACACAAAAGCCAGUGUUUACCCACUCUAAAGAUAUAGAAGCCUUUUUUAGCAGUCAAUUGUAAGCCUUCUCACACACUUUAGAGUCUUUCUCUUCAUCUUUGCACACACCCUUCUACACGUUGAGAGUCGUGUUGCUUGGUUUUGCCCGGACUUCGGUUCGUGGUUUCAUUCCAGUCUGUAUAUAUGUAUAUUUAUAUAUAUAUUGACUACCAUUAUCGAGUUAUGCCUCGAUUGAGCCUAGACUUCGGUCUGGAACGUUUAUUCGCUUAUAUAUAUAUAUAUUAUAUUAAUUGUGUGUCGAACUCUGUUCGAUGAGCCUGAAUUUUAUAUCCGGUGCGUUUACUCGCUUUUAUGUAUAUAUAUACUUAUAUAUAUAAACUGUGGUCGAACUUUGUUCGAUGAGUCUGGAUUUUAUAUCCGGUGCGUUUACUCGCUUAUAUAUAUAUAAACUGUGGUCGAAUUCUGUUCGAUGAGCCUGGAUUCCACAUCCGGUGCGUUUAUUGCUUUUAAUAUAUAUAUAUAUAUACAUAUUUUAGUCCUGCCUGGAGUUUUCUUCGUGACAGGUGAUCGCUUUACAGCUUUAUUUACGUUUUGUCCCGCCUGGAGUUUCCUCCGUGGUGGUUGAUAGCUUUUAACAGCUUUAUUUAUAUUUCUGAUCCCCCAUGGAGGUGCUUCGUGGUUGGUGAUCAUGUCUGUAUAUAUGUAUUUACAGCUUUUAUAUAUAUACCUUCUUACUGCUUUCAUACAAAUUGCAGCAUUCUGUGCGCCUAGGAAUCAUGUGAUCACAGAUUCAUCCCAUUGGAUCUAGAUUUAAUUCCCGUGAUGGACAUUUUUCAGCUAUAAGCAGCUUGUAAAUUAUUCUGGGUUGUCUGAAUUUCCUUAGAUGGUUUCCAUACCCACAAGGAAGUUGGCAUUAUUUUUGUGUAUUAUUUUCGUACGGAUGCCUCACAUCCGUCAAAUAAAAAUCAAUCAAGCCGAUCACUUAAUAAAAAUGAGAGUGUAAAAGGUCUCAAUUCCUAUUGAGCAUCAGGGUUUGAAAAACCUCUUUUAUAAAACAACAUUGCUAUAUCUUGCUAAAAACUGAAUUUUUACAUAAAUUCAAACUCUGUGUAUAUAGGUUCGAACGAGGCCUCGCAAAACUUCCAUAUAACAGCACAUUGACCCACACACACACACAUUCAGAUAACAGUUUAUUGAAAAAAGGCGGUCACCGUGGUAACACGGAUGUCGGGGGGUGCCUAACACCUUCCCCCCGCAUAACCAAGUCCCCGGAUCCUAAUGAAUCUCGAUUUCACCGACCCGUAUAGCAGUGUCACAUCACUGGGUCAAUGUGCAAACCUUUUCUCGGUUGUGUUGGUACAACCAUUUAAAAAACCAACUGGAGAUUCUUAACAGUCCAUCAUCGACAUUAUACAUGUCAGAACUUUUUCACUUGUUUUUUUAAAUAAAUCUCACCUAAACUGAGAACACCAAAGAACAAGUAACGGAAAGGGACAUCCAAAAAUCCCGACGUCGACAGGUGGCGACUCUGCUGGGGACUCCAGUAAGAGGACUUAAGCCGCUAUUACAAUCUUUUCAAAACUGUUAUCUUCUUGUGUUUGGAUGUUGCAUUUACAUUUGAUAAAUGUGUACGAAUGCAUUUCCUUAUUGUACUUAGUGCUUCGCACCAUAACUGCUUGUGAUAUUAGUGCUUCACAUAUGUCAUCAUUUUCAUACGGUGAGACGCGAUGUAUGUGAAUGUAUGUUGUGUGGUCCCUCCACCAGGAGGCUAUCCCGUCGGUGUUUGAUUACUGGACUCGUGAGAAGACUAAUUCUCCGAGGCUCAGGAAAGGCACCACCCAAAUUCACUCCAGUUGAAAGACCGGAUUAACUUCCCGUCUAGUAGAUUGCGAUGAUUUGGGAACCUUCAUGCCAAAAAGCCGCGAGAGUAACCUAAGAUAGGUCAGCCUCUGAUAAACCCAAAACGGAGGAAAGUCUCUUCAUGCUCUCUCAUUUCAAUUACUUGUAAACACAAUUACUUGUAAUUUCAUUCCAUAUCUAUCUCCAUUUAAUGAGAAAUAUGAAGAAAUGUGUACACAUACAAAUUGACAUGCUACAAACAGCUGACAUCCGUUUUGCAGGAUAAAAUUCCUAAACUGGACACAUCACAUAGCAUGUUAUUAUACAUUCCCUAAAGACUAAACUAUGCAAGUCUUUCGCAGGGAACCAAUCGGACCUACUACCCGGUCAAAAUCCAAAAAGGCUGCAAGCCUACAGUCAAUCAUGUCGCCAUCUGACCAAACUGACCUUAAUCCAGUUUCUCUCAAAGAAUUCGACGGAUUAAGCAAACAAAUUACAGAUUUGGCUGAUCUGCUCAAAGAACUACACCAGUCUACUCAGGGUAAAAAUACCCGUACAUGCUGAAUCCUCCGCAUAAGGAGGAACCCAAGGUCCAGAUACUGCUAGUUCCAGUCGCAGGAAUCCUGAUAAGCACAGACAGAUUCCUUCAGCGACACAGCGAUUGUCUCCACCUACAACUCCUGAGUCCGCACAACCUCCUGUAAAGGUGCCAGCCAGCGUAAUGGCUAUGUUAUUUCCCAAGCCGAUGCUGAUAAAAGAGAAAGAAGUCUUUGUUCCAGACCCCAGAGUGGAAGAAGAGGAACGAAGAAUUAAAUAAGACAUCAUCCGAAUGAUGUCAGGCGUACACAUCAUUGUCCAUGAUGAACAUACAAACAGAUACACCCCAGACGAUGAUUGCCCAGACGUAAUGGUAAUCAUUCGGGAGAAGGAGGAUGAUGAAAACCCCUCCAUCACCGCAGUCCAUCAGGACUUUGCCCUUGACAAUUGGAGCAGCACUCCUUGCAUUGGUCGACGAGGGUAAAGCGGGCAGAAACUCAUUCUGCCCUGUAGAUAACAAUAACUGCUUACUUUUUCUGUACAGUAUUAGCAGUUACUUUUGUCAUUACAUGCUAACACUUUGUGUGAUUGAACAGUUUCAUAUAUCAGGUGAGAGCAUGUUGGUUCAGGACUCUAAAAUUAGAUGUGCCUAGACUUGCUGAUGAGGUGCUUAUUCUCCAAGAGGACUGUAACUUUGAUGCCAAGUUGGACUCAGACUUGAUGGAAAUACAAGAGGACUAUGAGAUACCUCAGGAGAUCAAAGAAUGGGUCGAAGACAAACCCAAACGAAAUCUUGAUCAAACCACCUCUUUUAAACCUCGGAACCUUAGAAAACCCCAAACAAAUCCAAAUUGGUACAGACUUCACUCCAAACUAAAGGAAUUACAUGGUUACUCUAUUGACACUAUUCCAGGAUGUGUUUGCAUGGUCUCACGAAGACAUGGUCAGUUUAUACAUGAACAUUACCAUUCAUCGCCUUCCCAUCAAAGGGGGAUUCAAACCACUCAAGCAGAAGCUCAAGCGAUUAAAACCUGAGUGGAAGUUAAAAGUUAAAGAAGAAAUUGUGAAACAAUUUCAAGCCAACAUCAUCAUGGUGUCAACAUAACCUGAAUGGAUAUCCAACAUAGUCCCCGUGCCGAAACCGGGAAGGGAGGUACGAGUUUGUGUGGAUUACAGAGAUUUGAAUAAAGCUUGCCUCAAAGAUAGCUUUCACGUGCUGUUCAUCCACAUACUCAUUGACAAUACAGCUCGAUACGACAUGUACUCCUUUGUUGAUUGCUCCGCGGGGUACCAUCAAAUCAUGGUUGCUGAGAAAGAUCGUGAGAAAAUUAUUUUCAUCACUCCUUGGGGAAUCUUUUGCUAGCAGACGAUUGUCCUUUGGCCUCAUCAAUGCCGGAGCUACCUAUCAAUGAGCCAUAUGGCUCUUUUCCACGAUCUAAUGCAUAAAAAAAAGAAAAAAAAAAGAAAAAGAAAAAAAAGAAGAAAAAGAAAAAGAAAAAAAAAGCUCUUCAACAGGUUCAACAGUUGCUGCCUUAACAUAGACAGGUUCUACAAAUGGCUUCGGAGUUCGAAGAAAAAUCCUUCCUCCACAUUCCUCAAAAUAAGAAUGAUUUUGCGGAUGUGCUAGCAACCUUGGCCUCCUUGAUCAACAUACAUGACAAGGAAGACAUGCCAACCCUCACAUUUGCGCAACAAAAAGCUCCAGCCUAUGGGAAUUCCAUUGAAAAGUAUUGGAUGACCUACCUCCCACCCAACAUCCUUGGUAUCAAGAAGUACUUACGAGAUGGAUCUACACCCGCUGAGGCGAGCCCGACUGAGAAAAGGUGGAUCCAUCAACUUGUUAUAAAAUUCUACCUGAACGGAGAUGCACUAUACGAAAAGAGAUGCAGAACGAGGUCUCCUCAGAUGUUUGGACGAGGACCAAGCUCAGAGGCUCAUGGAUAAAAUCCAUGGGGGAGUAUGUGGCCCACAUAUGAGCGUCCCUCUACUUGUAAAGAAGAUCCUACAACAAAAAAGUCCGACUACGGCAGUUUAAACAACACGACUUGGUUUUGAAAAAGAUCAUUGAUAACCAAGCUCAGUCUAAAGGAAAAUUCUCCCCGAACUGGGAAGGCCCGUUUGUUGUCAAGGAAGUAUUGACAGGAGGCGUUUUCAGAUUAUAGGAAAUGGACGGCGAUGAAUUUCCACAGCUUAUCAUGUCGGACACCGUGAAACGGUACUAUGUCUGAGGUUACCAUCAAGCGAACAUCCUGGUUUUGGAUCAUCAGAUUACCAGUCAUUCCGGUUCUUUAACCCUUUACCACAUACAACUCUUCCACACUUUGCCCCUCAGGGAAACAUCCUUUCAAGCCAGCAGCCUGUCUUCACUACGAUCAUACCACUUAGGUCAUCUCACCGCGAAUUGAACCUCUUACGUUUGCAGUUUGGCUGCCCAUACAUGGGAUCAAACUUUUCACACUUUCAGUUUAUCCUCAACCUAGGAUCAAAUUUUUUCUUCCCCGCAGUCUGACCUGCUCAUGGGAUCACAUUUUUCAACUCGCCUUGAAGGGCGAACUACGUCGACCUGAUCUCCCUAAUACACGGGAGUACGUAGGCAGCCAUGUUAUAUGGUCCGGUCUCACCACAGAAAAAACAAACUCACUCCUAUCCAUAGCCACAUACAGAAACAAGUCCCAAGACAUCAAAGAUGGUAGGGAAUACACACAGAUCGACGAUCCAUUCUGAAAAUCCUGAGACAUCUCACUGUCCAUCCAUCAAGGAGGAGUUCAGAAUACAUCCAGAUCACAAAGUCCUGGAGAAACAAGCGAAUAUCAAGCAAGUAGCAAGGCACAACUAAAAGGGAAGUGAAUCAACAUAUAUUUCCCUGCCAUAUAUAAUGUUGUUUGAUAUAUACAAUGUGUACUGUACAUGACAAAAUGGCUAAGCUAGUCUAUGCAGGAAAAUACAAGCCCAUCUACAAAUCAGUGUAUACGCGGGCUAUCAAGUCCAACAUGGAUUCCCUCUCAGAAGAAGGAGGUAACGCUGUGAUUUCCUGCCAAAGGGUCUCUACACGAUCCAACAAAUCCACCGCCAACUACAUGCAAUAUUUCGGGCAGAUAUAGCGUUGUCCCACUCAACAAUCACUACAUCUAUGGAUGAUCUGGCCUCAUCCCGCUCAACAACAGCGGUAUCCCUAUGAGUUAGAGCAUCAUCUCUCUCAACUAAAGCAACAUCUCUACCAUAAAGAGCUAUCAACAUUAAAGCCCACAUUCACUACCUGUUCACCAUAUGGUACAGAGGUAAAAGCUUCUCGCGAUCUCGACAUCUUAUCAGCCCAUCUAUCAAAGCAACUACCCCAGACAACAAGCAAGGCUGGGUCAAUUUCAAAAUUGGCGACAACCGGAUAUUGGAUCCCUUACGACAAGAUUGGGGGCAAUCUCGAAAGCAGCGACAACUCAACACUGGGGCAUUUAUCAACCAUCCUAAAGUGGAAAGUGCACCAGUCAGCGCCAUCAGCUUGGUCCAUCGUUAUCUCAAUGGUGAUUCAGAUAUUAUUCACUCGCGAUUUGGUCAACAAAGAGAGUUUCUCAUAUGAAUCCCCAGUAACAACAUGUGAAAGGACUGGGGCAUUUUUCCGAUUCCAAGAUUGAACGAAAUCAUGGCGACAUUAACUUGCCCCUACGAAAGAAGGGAAAAUUCUCAAGAAAGGUCUUAACUCAGGAGCAGAAGGCCAACGACGAAAUGUCUAGCGAAGGAAAUCUACACCAUCAACAAGCUUUAAGUCCUCACGAGUUGAGGCCUCUACACCGAAGUUCCAAUCUGGGCAGCGAAAGAACGAGUUACAACCCCCAGGGAUGUCAGCGGAAUUCAAGUCAUCAGUUCACCCGGAUGGCAAAUCAAGCGCUCAAGGAAAUGCGGCAUAAGCACCCAGCAGCGAAAGGAAACUCCAAAUCACCUCAAAAAGGAUGAGACAUCUAGUGGUUGUCAUCAAUCUAACGUAACAUCAGGCGAAGUCUAGUGAAGUAAUCCGUGGAAUAUUACUUCAGCAAAGGUAUCGUAAGAUCUGGUAUUCUAAACCAUUGCUAUCAAUACAACGCGACAUCAACACAGUUCAGCGAUGAAAGCUUCGUAUACCACCGAUCGAGUGGGAACCGGAAAAUUUUGGCGAUCAGCAGGAUAGUCACCGUUGCAACUACCAGCGAAUACAUCAGGAGGGUCUGGUGAUUUCAGAACGUCAUCCCCAUCAGAGAUGUGGAAAACAUCCCAACUUAUCUUCAUCAAAUAAGUCAGCGAUUAAAUGCCAAACCAUUGGAGUCAACACCAGCAUAUGCAUCAGUAAUGAUCGAUAAAGGUAAAGAGAUUUGCGAAUACAUUUUAACAUUCAUCAUAACAUUCAUUACAUUGCGAUUUGUGAUCUUGCGAUUUGCGAUUGUGCAAUUUAUGAUUUGCGAUAUGCGAAAUGCGAUGUGCGAUUUGCGAUGUACGAAUUGCGAUGUGUGAUUUGGCCAAAAGCGAAAAGCAAAGUGCGAAAUGCGAUGUGCGAUUUACGAACUGCGAUUUGCGAAAACAUUGUCAAAUUCAUCAUAAACAUUCACUACAUUGCGAUUUGUAUCAUUAAAAAUACCUUGUCAUGUUUCAAGUGUCUACUAAUCUUCAUCAUGUCCAUUCCAUUGCAUUGCAUGAACAUGAUAAAGAGGGGCAUCUGUAGACACUCAAAAUUUUCUUCUCCUGUUACUAACCAUGUAGGAGGACAAAAGCGCCUUUUUCACUCUCCAGAGAUAACCCUAGAGGACCACAACAUCAAUUUCAACCCCGAAGAUAGCCACAAGAGAUCCAGUUUUUCAACCCCGAAGAUAACCCCGGGAAAUCAGGUUCUAAACCUCGGAGAUAACCCAAGGAAAGUCAGUUUCAACCUCGGAGAUAUCCCCGGGGGAUCAAGAUCAAAGCCUCGAGAUAGCCCCAGGAGGUCAAGCCAACCUCAGAGAUGACCCUGAGGAUAGUCAAAGUCAACAGCAAGCCAACCUCAGAGAUAACCUUGAGAAAAGACUGCUACAACUGCGCGAAAACCGGAGAUAACCCCAGGAGGGGUAAAAUGGUCAUUUUGCCAACUUAACUUCACUUCAAAUCAAAUACACUCAUGUCAACUCAAAAUUCUUCAAAGGAAGUCCCAUAAGAACCAUAUCUUAACUUCCGAACGUAAACUACGUAAAACGGCUCAACGGACUGCCUGACGGAAACUCGGGAAUGCCAUUUUGGUCAUGGACCCAUCUUCCUAGAAUCAAAAAAGGUCAAAUUAUAUAUCAUUGUGUAGCUCUCGGAAAGAGCUUUUCGGAAUAAUAUGGCACGCUUCCAUCGGACUCCCGGAUUGAAAGUUAUAAGCGACCGAGCGAACAGUGCGUAUGUACUUCGACACGGUGGGACCCACACUGCCCGGGGCACCCCGGGCAGCCUCUGGUACACCUGCGGCCCAGCAGCAGGUACACCUGCGGCUCCAACCUCUAUAAAUAGAGGGCUUGGGGUGGCCAUUUUACAAGAGAAAAAGACGGGGAAACACUGCACAAUUCGCUCUGCACUCGCCCAUACAAUGUAUUUUCUCACUUUUAAACACCUGUGAGCUCAUAUAUAGCCUCUUUUAUACACACAAAAGCCAGUGUUUACCCACUCUAAAGAUAUAGAAGCCUUUUUUAGCAGUCAGCUGUAAGCCUUCUCACACACUUUAGAGUCUUUCUCUUCAUCUUUGCACACACCCUUCUACACGUUGAAAGUCGUGUUGCUUAGUUUUGCCGGGACUUCGGUCCGUGGUUUCAUUCCAGUCUGUAUAUAUAUAUAUAUAUUGACUAACAUUAUCGAGUUAUGCCUCGAUUGAGCCUAGACUUCGGUCUGGAGCGUUUAUUUGCUUUCGUAUAUAUAUAUAUAUACACUUAUAUAUAUGAACUGUGUGUCGAACUUUGUUCGAUGAGCCUGGAUUUUACAUCCGAAGCGUUUACUCCUUUAAUAUAUAUAUAUAUAUAUAUAUAUAUAUAUAUUAACUGUGUGUCGAACUCUGUUCAAUGAGCCUGGAUUUUAUAUCCGGUGUGUUUACUCGCUUUUAUGUAUAUAUACACUUAUAUAUAUAAACUGUGGUCGAACUCUGUUCGAUGAGCCUGGAUUUUAUAUCCGGUGCAUUUACUCGCUUAUAUAUAUAUAUAUAAACUGUGGUCGAAUUCUGUUCGAUGAGCCUGGAUUCCACAUCCGGUGCGUUUAUUGCUUUUAAUAUAUAUAUAUAUAUACAUAUUUUAGUCCUGCCUGGAGUUUUCUUCGUGACAGGUGAUCGCUUUACAGCUUUAUUUACGUUUUGUCCCGCCUGGAGUUUCCUCCGUGGUGGUUGAUAGCUUUUAACAGCUUUAUUUAUAUUUCUGAUCCCCCAUGGAGGUGCUUCGUGGUUGGUGAUCAUGUCUGUAUAUAUGUAUUUACAGCUUUUAUAUAUAUACCUUCUUACUGCUUUCAUACAAAUUGCAGCAUUCUGUGCGCCUAGGAAUCAUGUGAUCACAGAUUCAUCCCAUUGGAUCUAGAUUUAAUUCCCGUGAUGGACAUUUUUCAGCUAUAAGCAGCUUGUAAAUUAUUCUGGGUUGUCUGAAUUUCCUUAGAUGGUUUCCAUACCCACAAGGAAGUUGGCAUUAUUUUUGUGUAUUAUUUUCGUACGGAUGCCUCACAUCCGUCAAAUAAAAAUCAAUCAAGCCGAUCACUUAAUAAAAAUGAGAGUGUAAAAGGUCUCAAUUCCUAUUGAGCAUCAGGGUUUGAAAAACCUCUUUUAUAAAACAACAUUGCUAUAUCUUGCUAAAAACUGAAUUUUUACAUAAAUUCAAACCCUGUGUAUAUAGGUUCGAACGAGGCCUCGCACAACUUCCUUAUAAUAGCACAUUGACCCACACACACACAUUCAGAUAACAGUUUAUUGAAAAGAGGCGGUCACCGUGGUAACACGGAUGUCAGGGGGUGCCUAACACCUUCCCCCCCGCAUAACCAAGUCCCCGAAUCCUAAUGAAUCUCGAUUUCACCGACCCGUAUAGCACUGUCACAUCACUGGGUCAAUGUGCAAACCUUUUCUCGGUUGUGUUGGUACAAUCAUUUAAAAAACCAACUGGCGACUCUUAACAGUCCAUCGUCAACAUUAUACAUGUCGGACCUUUUUCACUUGUUUUUUCAAACAAAUCUCACCUAAACUGAGAACACCAAAGAACAAGUAACAGAAAGGGACAUCCAAAAAUCCCGACGUUGACAUUCAUAACUGAAUUUUCUUAUCUACUGAUGUUGUCUUUGGUAACGCGGAUCUCCUAUUUCAAUCAAAAAGAUAUAGACGUUGCAGGAGGAUUUGGAAGGGUACAUAGUCGUUACUCUCUUCUUUAUAUAUAUACUGUUUACACGGCUUCAAGAAAUACAUAAGACUACUGAGCAGAAACUCUUCAAGCUAUCCAAGAUACACAUCAAUUAUCAUAUCAUUCUUUAAGUCUUGGUUUAUAGUGUUCUUGUAUUCCUUAUUUCAUAUCUAUUGUAAACAUAGUAAAAGUCUAGGUUGGCUUGGGGUUUUUAUUUUAGUAAUAUUCAGUCUGUACAACGAAGCUAUCAAAGUCUCAGAGGUGAGAGGUGUUGCAGAGGUGCAAAGGGGGCAGAGGUGUCCAAUCGAUCGUCGUUGUAACAGGGAGUUUUAUUGUCUUUGUAAUUGCUGAAUAUUAUUUUAAUAAAGUGAGUCUCCAAUCCUAGUUGGGAUUGGACGUGGAUUAGGCCACUAGAGUAGAGGAUAGGGGCUGAACCACGUAAAAAUCUCGGUGUGAUUUACUACCUUUUUGCUUCUAUUUUUAGCUUCAAUAUUCUGCAGUUUUGUUGUUUGUGUCGAAAAAGUUUUACACUAAUCCGGACAGGUAUUAGCUGUCCGUUUUUAACAGUUAAGAAUAUAACUAAUACGGACAGGGUUAGACCGUCCGAUUAUAGUCUGCUAUAGUAAACUUUAAAAAUUGGCCACUGUAGAUCACGUCUAAGUAUUAAAACCUAUUCACCCUCCCUCUAGGUGUGCUUUAUUAUAGAAUUACAAUGGAUACAAUAAACAUGAAAAAUUUAUACUUCCCUGGUAGGUAGGGAAAUUCAACAAUCUAAUUUACUCGCUCAACCACGUGGUUGAUGGCAAACACAAGAAACUGAGUAGCCAAUCUGAACCAAAGCUUCACUCCCAUCAGUAAAGUACACAAUUUCAACACCAGCCAUUAUCCAAUCAAUCACCAUGAAUUGGGAACCAAUGUUCUGACCACUUGGGAUAUGUGCGUUUAAACAAAUUCAUGCAUACAAUAUCAUUCUGCUGGAGGACCCCAUUCAAGAGACACUUCAUUGCCCCUGAAAAAAAAUAGCUGUUAAGAAAUUUGGUAAAAUGUUUCAGUCCUCCAGUGCAUUACAAGAAUGACAGCUUUGCCCAGCAGAGAAAAAUACAUUCUUAAUUUUUCACCAGCUAAAGUAAAAUAAUCAGUUUUUAUAUUUAAAUCUAUUUUCUCAGAUAAGCAAGCAGCAUAUAUAACAGGCAAAACUACAAUACGAUAAAACAGUUGGAACCUUUCUAGACAUAACCGCAGAAAACAAAAUCACAGUACAGGCACAAUUAUGGUACUGUUUAUUAAGUUUAACGUAUACAUCGGAAAGAGGGACAACCCUUUCUAGGAUUCAGCUAUUACAUAAUGGAAGAUCUAUUCGCUUAUAUUUUGCCAAUUCAAUCAAGUGACUUGUUCAUAGAAUAACCUCAAAAAAAUUUCCUAGAAUUAUCUGUUAUGUAAACGUAUCUACGAAUAGCCUCAAAAGAGAUAAAAUUCCAAAAAAUAUGCAUACAAGAAAGACAACAAUUCCUUUAAUCGGGUAAUCUGGGUUUGACAAUGUGGAACCUUUUCAACCUCUUAUAUGCAUUGAUUUGCAUUAUUUGUAAUCUGGAUGAAAACAUGCUCAUUGUUGUCAAAUGUCGAUUUAAAUUACAAUUCUGGUUGUAACAUGUUCUAUUAUUUUUAUGUGCAAAAGGUACCUGUAUGACAUUCUGACAAAGGCAAGUGUAGUCAAGAAAAAUAUACCGGUACUCAUCCUAUGCAACAAAGUGGAUAUGGUUACUGCACAUACCAAGGAGUUUAUCAGAAAACAACUGGAGAAGGAAAUGUAUGAUUUAGUUGUAUAUCUGAAUCAGACAUUUAUAAUCAUUUUAUUGCAGAGAAUAAUAUUUACAUACUAAGAUCUCUUUCCACCAUUGCUUUUAGAGUAGAAUUUUGAUAAAGGUCUUACGCAACCACUUUAUAUUUCUUUGUCGCAACCAUUUUAAGAAAAGCCUGUUGAAUUGGACUUAUUGAACUAAAUUUUCAACUUAACAUAUAGUUUGUAAAAACAUAUAAGGUUAUGUUUUUGACUGCACCCUGCAAUAACAAUAUGAUGAUUAACCUCUCUUGAAGGUAAAAUUAAAAACCUAUUAAUUAAUUAUUAUGAAUUAUAUAUGCCAAGUUUAUAUAUGAUAUUUGACCUAUUUAUGGUCCAUAUUGGUUUUGUGAUUUAAAUAAAGCACUCCUCAUUAUAGGUGCAUUCAUUAUGUCACAUUAAUCAGAUCAUCCAACAUGACUCUUUAUCUUCAUACUGGUACCAAACAACAACAACUACAAACAGAAGUAGCUAAAAACCAAUAUAUCAUUUUCCAGUAAAAUGUGAUACUGGAGACUUAUUAAUUAUUCUAUGAUUUCUUACCAUUCUUUGAUCAUUACCAGAUAAAUUAACUUUCUGACCGCUUCUUAGAGGUGUUUUCAUGCACUUGAAUAGGCAGCAUUCCCCGAGAAAAAUUAUAUAUAUAUAUAUAUAUAUAUAUAUAUAUAUAUAUAUAUAUAUAUAUAUAUAUAUAUAUAUAGACAUCAGCCAUACUACCACAACGCAAGUCUUAAACUCAAGAAGUUAUCUACAAUUAUGUUACAUAUACUUGUGAUUUACUUCCUCAGUUUCUCAGUAUACUUAAAGCAAUGGGACUAUGGGGCAGGAUUUUUUUUUAAAGUUUAAAUCAUAAUGAUUCAGAUAAUACUAAUGUUGUAAUAAUGAUGGCAAUAUUCAAUUCCAAUUAUGAAAACUGUAUAAAAAUUGAUAAACUUUAGAGGAAAAGUAAUGUUGUAACAACUCAAAUUAUAUCAAAUACCUAGAAUGAAGUCUACAGCUUGAUGUGACCAAUUCACAAAUUUAGGCUCAUCUAUCUGCCAAUAAAAAAAUUAACGUAAACAAAAAUGGAAAAUAUAUUUACUUAAAUGAGCGCAUAGUGUUAUCAACAAAGGGAAACACAGAUAAGACAGAGACUCACACACCUGGAUAGAAGAAACAGUUUCUCAGAGCUCCACAAUACACAGAACUCUAGCCUCCUAGUGAGAGCGGGAAGUUACUUUUGAUAUUCCCUUUUGUGUCUUCUCCACCUGUCCAAGGCCAGGAGGGAAUGGAUAGUAGUAACUUUCAAUGUGUUCUGCUGCUGCACAGCCUUGGACCAGAAUCUGAAUUAAUGGAUAACAUUAGCCUUUUCACCAUUAUUUAUUUCGUUCAAGCAAAAUCCAUGAUUUAUCAUCGCCUUAUCAAAUUAGUAUAUCAGAAAUCCAUCAAAGGAGUCAAUUUUACAAAUAAACACGCGCACAAGAAUACCGAUGCAACUCAGGCAUGCUUCAGUCAUAAUUUCGGUUACGCAAGGCAAUAAACAUUUGUGGACUCAAAAAACAUUGUAGAGUCGAAGCGCNNNNNNNNNNNNNNNNNNNNNNNNNNNNNNNNNNNNNNNNNNNNNNNNNNNNNNNNNNNNNNNNNNNNNNNNNNNNNNNNNNNNNNNNNNNNNNNNNNNNNNNNNNNNNNNNNNNNNNNNNNNNNNNNNNNNNNNNNNNNNNNNNNNNNNNNNNNNNNNNNNNNNNNNNNNNNNNNNNNNNNNNNNNNNNNNNNNNNNNNNNNNNNNNNNNNNNNNNNNNNNNNNNNNNNNNNNNNNNNNNNNNNNNNNNNNNNNNNNNNNNNNNNNNNNNNNNNNNNNNNNNNNNNNNNNNNNNNNNNNNNNNNNNNNNNNNNNNNNNNNNNNNNNNNNNNNNNNNNNNNNNNNNNNNNNNNNNNNNNNNNNNNNNNNNNNNNNNNNNNNNNNNNNNNNNNNNNNNUAUAUAUAUAUAUAUAUAUAUAUAUAUAUAUAUAUAUAUAUAUAUAUAUAUAUAUAUAUAUAUAUAUUGAAAACAGUACCAAAGAGAAUAUAUCAACAAAAUAAAUAGGAGUAUAUAUAAAUAAUUUUUAUCUCUUUUUCAUAUGUGUCUAUAGAAGCUGCUGCUCUACUUUCUCCAUCAAUCUUGUGAAAGCAUUCAUUCCAGUCCAAAACCUUAUCUUCACCAUUGACCACCUAUUGUCGGAGAAAGUGAAAAAUGUUGGUGAGUAAACUGGCACAAUAUACUUAAGAAGGAUUUUUAUUCAAAUGUUGAGAAAUGAAAAUAAUUCCUCCAAAUUCAUGGACAUUAUAACACCCCCAUACAUAACACAAUGGAGGGCAAAGUCAAAGACACAAACACACCAAAUUUUCUCUUUUAAUUUAACAAUGAUGAUAAUAGAGAGAUUUCUUUUCAAAUUAGUGUCCAGUCCUAAAUAUUAUAGACGUCAUAACUGGGAUGAUAUUGGAACACCAAAAAACAUGAAAAUUACAAAAUAAUGAUAUACUAAAUGGAGAACUAAAAACGUAUAAGCAUACAGACACAGAAAAUUGGACAGGCCGCAUUCAAAAAUGCGCGCACACACAUUAGACAAUGAAAACACUACGAGGUACUGCAUUUUUUUCCACUAAUCAAUCAAUUUUGUUAAUGAAAUUUAAUUUAUGCAAGUAAAUAUCUUAAUCAACCUCAAAUAUCAGUCCUUUUUCUGGGACAGUAUCAAGAGCUUCCACACAUAUGAAGGCAGCGUCCUCCUUGCUCAGGCUUCACUCUGUUGCACUACCCUGUCAUAAUAAUGUAAAACCAAUAUGAAAUAUAUAUGUUUACAAAGCAUACAAUCAAGUUUAUGUAUACAUUCUUGCAACAGUGACUUCUGAAUCCUGCAAAAGUGAUCUAAUAUUAAGGGCAAAUAGAUGAAAAAGUAUAUAAUUUUAGAAGUAAUAAGAGAAAGAAUGGUGUUUAGAUGCCUUGUUUUGUACUUUAAUAUUGAAUGGAGCUUAUUUAUAACAGAAGGCACGAGUAUUAGGAGAAUAGUUGUAUUGGAUUCUUCCCAGCAACUUCAGAAUACCAAGAUUUCCAUGCUUCCAUAUAAUGACCAAAUAAGCCUUUCAAAGUUAAAAAAUCACAAGAAAACCAGUUUAAUAUUAUUAUAAUUUGCUGGGACUCAUGACACAGGUAUUAAUGCACAAGUCACAACUGUGACUCCAUGUGAAUGACAUAUAAAUAAACUCCUUUGCCAAGACCAACAGUAUGCAAAACUAUUCAGUUUUAUAAGUCAUUACCCAGUUUGGCUCAUACUAAAUAAGGACGCCUUGCCUUGCCUCUUGGGUUUUCCCUUUCCUGCAACUUGAAAUACAACUCUCUUCAACAUUUAUCCUCUCACGAUUCCAUUUUGCCUCCAGAGAUUUCCAUUUAGUAUUGAACAUACUAUCUAAUUUCUUUGAUGCCUUACUAAAAUGGUUAAAAGGAGGGUUAUACGUAAUGGCAUUGGAAAAAGUCAGUCUGACAUCUGCAGUAAAUUCCUCGACAUUAAAACUUCUGGAAAAAUAGAAUAAGAGUUGGAAAAAUUUCAAAAUUGGGAACAAAAUCAAAUAUUGGUGUUAAUAUGGAAAAUACUCCGAAGAUUUGGAAACAAAUUAUGUCAAAUAUUUUAUAUAGAAUAUUGCAAGCAAUAUUGUCCAAAACACAGAAAUCAACCGAACAGAGUUCACCAAAACCUAAAUAUCCAUGAAUAUUUCAAAGAGAAGUUAGAGAACCAAAUAUAUUUCCAUAUAUAUGUUGAGGAGCAUGUGAAAUUAUCCAAUGUCAAGUCUUACCGAUUGAAUGGUCUGAUCGAAGUGUGCUGGGCUGGAGAGAGGGGUUGAGAACUCCUCGAUCGGCUGAAGCUCCUCAAACUUUGUAAAAGUGACCAAGACUCGAAUUGUUGGCACAAUUGGGAUAGCAAUAUACAGGAUGUUUACCCUUUGGGACUGAGUCUUCUUCGCCGUUUGAAAGAAUUUGAAAUGAAUUUAGUUGCCGUAUUUGAAUAUGUGAUCCCAGAUUUAGGGGAAUUAUUAUAGAUGGGCAUAAAGGAUAAUUAGGAGCAUUAAUUAGGUUAGACAGGUGUUAAUUUUUUAGAAUGACAGAUGUCAAAUUAUUGUGUCAUGUACUGUGAUUUAGUAUAUAUAGACUAGAUACAAACUCGCGCGUUGCGGCGGGAUUAUUUAAUUUUUUAAUAAUAAAUAUGUACGUAUAAUUAAUAAAUUAAAAUAUAAUAAAAAGAUGGUAAAUUGUUGUGCGAUGAUCAAAUUUCAUAGCGAACAUUCAAAUAAUCCAAAUUAAAAACUCAAAGAUCAACGUACUAAUUGUGUUUAGAAGUUUCUAAUUUUUAAAACAACCAAGAUACGUAGUAAAAUGAGAUAAUGAAUUAAAUUAAUUUGAAGCAGUAAAGUUGUCAUCUUUCUCGAUUUUGAUCUUCUUUUGCAUUUUGUUGGUUGACAUUUCAACAUCAGUUGACUGAGAUCCUUGUACAUCAUCAUCGCUGAUUGAAUGUAUAGGCCUUUUGCUUAUAGGUGUGACACAGUUGACAACAUCGAGCAUUGACUCACCCUGUAUAGACUGUAAUAACAGAGUUAAAUUGUGUAAGAUUCAAUUAUUUUUUCCAUAAGUGUAAACAAAUUUAUUGUAGGAUUCAACAUUAACCAAAUGAAUUACCUGAGGCUCAUCACAUAUACUUGUGUAGGAUUUAAUUAUUUUUUUCAUCGUUAGUCAUCCUAGCAACUGUGUAUGUCGCAUAAUUUGCCUUCAAAUUAUAAGAUGAUAUCUGUAUUUUGAAAAGGAACCUCUUUUGCAACAAUAUAUUGAGUUCAUCCGGAAAACAAUCAGUGUGACGCCCCCAAAAUAGGUAUACAUCACCUAUUCUGAGUCGCCAAAUACAUGGUACAGAAUACAAAUACAAUCUUUAAUAUACAACAGGAGAGCUGUGAGUUUUAAUACAAAUACUGUCAUCUAGACAAUAUCCACUCUCAGAAUAAGUACUCAUUACAUUUAUUGUCACACUAUUUAACAGAAUAGUGAGGACUACUAGCUAAUACUAUCAUCCGGACCAUCACUCCGUUCCCCGACUCGUCCCAGCUACGUUCUCAUUUCCUGAAGAGAACAGUGAAAGAAAGGGUGAGCUCAACUAGCCCAGUAAGAAAUAUUAUGACUAAGAUAAUGCAGAAUAAAUUAUCAUUAGCAUUCAACAGUGUUAAACUGAUAAAAUUUAACAAACAUCAAGUUUAACUGUAGUGGAACAAGUAAUUCAUUAGAAGAGUCAAGUAGAGAAUAAAAUCUACUAUCUUUAAAAGGUUUUUCAUGACUUUUAUCGCUGAGACUCAGCUUAAUAAAUAAUCCACAUCAUCGAAUCACCCCUGCACUACGGCCAAGGAUAUUCUUUAGUAUCACGACCACAAUUAUCCAUGCACUACGGGCCAAGAAUAUUUGUGUAUUCAUUAAUGGUNNNNNNNNNNNNNNNNNNNNNNNNNNNNNNNNNNNNNNNNNNNNNNNNNNNNNNNNNNNNNNNNNNNNNNNNNNNNNNNNNNNNNNNNNNNNNNNNNNNNNNNNNNNNNNNNNNNNNNNNNNNNNNNNNNNNNNNNNNNNNNNNNNNNNNNNNNNNNNNNNNNNNNNNNNNNNNNNNNNNNNNNNNNNNNNNNNNNNNNNNNNNNNNNNNNNNNNNNNNNNNNNNNNNNNNNNNNNNNNNNNNNNNNNNNNNNNNNNNNNNNNNNNNNNNNNNNNNNNNNNNNNNNNNNNNNNNNNNNNNNNNNNNNNNNNNNNNNNNNNNNNNNNNNNNNNNNNNNNNNNNNNNNNNNNNNNNNNNNNNNNNNNNNNNNNNNNNNNNNNNNNNNNNNNNNNNNNNNNNNNNNNNNNNNNNNNNNNNNNNNNNNNNNNNNNNNNNNNNNNNNNNNNNNNNNNNNNNNNNNNNNNNNNNNNNNNNNNNNNNNNNNNNNNNNNNNNNNNNNNNNNNNNNNNNNNNNNNNNNNNNNNNNNNNNNNNNNNNNNNNNNNNNNNNNNNNNNNNNNNNNNNNNNNNNNNNNNNNNNNNNNNNNNNNNNNNNNNNNNNNNNNNNNNNNNNNNNNNNNNNNNNNNNNNNNNNNNNNNNNNNNNNNNNNNNNNNNNNNNNNNNNNNNNNNNNNNNNNNNNNNNNNNNNNNNNNNNNNNNNNNNNNNNNNNNNNNNNNNNNNNNNNNNNNNNNNNNNNNNNNNNNNNNNNNNNNNNNNNNNNNNNNNNNNNNNNNNNNNNNNNNNNNNNNNNNNNNNNNNNNNNNNNNNNNNNNNNNNNNNNNNNNNNNNNNNNNNNNNNNNNNNNNNNNNNNNNNNNNNNNNNNNNNNNNNNNNNNNNNNNNNNNNNNNNNNNNNNNNNNNNNNNNNNNNNNNNNNNNNNNNNNNNNNNNNNNNNNNNNNNNNNNNNNNNNNNNNNNNNNNNNNNNNNNNNNNNNNNNNNNNNNNNNNNNNNNNNNNNNNNNNNNNNNNNNNNNNNNNNNNNNNNNNNNNNNNNNNNNNNNNNNNNNNNNNNNNNNNNNNNNNNNNNNNNNNNNNNNNNNNNNNNNNNNNNNNNNNNNNNNNNNNNNNNNNNNNNNNNNNNNNNNNNNNNNNNNNNNNNNNNNNNNNNNNNNNNNNNNNNNNNNNNNNNNNNNNNNNNNNNNNNNNNNNNNNNNNNNNNNNNNNNNNNNNNNNNNNNNNNNNNNNNNNNNNNNNNNNNNNNNNNNNNNNNNNNNNNNNNNNNNNNNNNNNNNNNNNNNNNNNNNNNNNNNNNNNNNNNNNNNNNNNNNNNNNNNNNNNNNNNNNNNNNNNNNNNNNNNNNNNNNNNNNNNNNNNNNNNNNNNNNNNNNNNNNNNNNNNNNNNNNNNNNNNNNNNNNNNNNNNNNNNNNNNNNNNNNNNNNNNNNNNNNNNNNNNNNNNUGGGGUCCACCAAUGAUUGUGCCGUUGUACGAAUAUUCCCUGUUAAAACGAAUAUUCCCCGACCAAUCGAAUAUUAUAUAACAACUUGCGUACUUUGCAAAAUUUAUAAAUAUUACCCACAACUAUAACAUUAUAUCAAUUUCACUCCAUAAUAUUUAAAAAUAAUAUUUAUAGAAAUUCAUCUUUAUUCAAAAAGUUGGGAUUUUACAAUCAGAGUCUCCAUCCUUUAACGCAUUUAAAAAACAUGAAUUAACAAUAGUUAUGUACACAAGGUUAAGACUGUAUAUUUUAAAUAUGUAAUGUGUUUUUAUAUUUUAAUUUUACGUUAAUCAAUUGUUCCCUCAAUUCAUAAGCUGACUUUCCUAUGACGUGUUGGGCUUCACGAUCAAAUAGAACAAAAGAUGCACUGGACGUAUCAUCCAUUACUUUAACUUGAACUUUAAAUCUGCAAUUAAAAGUUAAAUUUACAAAGUUAGAUAAUAUUAACAGAGUGAACAAAGUAUGAACAUAAGGUAGAUAUAACGUAUAACAAAAUAUUAUAUCAUAAUACCUCGGUGUAACAGAAUUAACAUGGUCAAAACAUUUAUCACACCAAUAUUUUCCGCUAUCUGGUUUUACUUUUUUGCGGCAUUUUUUGCGAGAAUUAUUAAACCAAUUAUAUUCGAUUUCUAUACAUAAAAUAGUACCAAGUACCACACAUGAUGACUCCUGGAGUGUAAAAAAAAUGAACAACUGAAAAUUAGUAAAUGUUGUGAAAAAAGUAAGGUGUUUUAAAAACGGUUUUACCUCUGUUGCAUCCCGUAUUUCUUCUAGAGUUUUUCUAUCAUAGAUUUGGAGGAAUUCAUCUGUAAUAGAUAAUGCGCUCUGGCUGGAUAGAUGAGUUAUUGUAGUUUUACCAGAAUUGGCAUCACAAAUGCUAAUAGACAACAAUGAUUGUAGUUAAAUGAAAAAUUAAUUUGUAGUGGGAAUAGAUUUUAAUAAGGAGUUCAAAUUAGAACAUAGUAUACCUAUUUUUAAAAUUAACAACCUCAGGGAUAUUUGUAAGACCCCAACUUAUUAAUGAAUAAAAUCAAAUUUCCUCUAAUUAUUAUUGUGAAUAAUAAGGUAUUAAUUUGAUAUAAUACUUUGGUUAUGGGUGAAAUGUGCAAAAUUUUCAAAAUAAGCAAGUGGUUAUAAAAUAUUCAAUUGUCGGGGAAUAUUCGUUUGGUCGUGGAAUAUUCUUUCUGUCGGGAAAUAUUCGUAUGACGGCGCAUCUAUUUGUGGGCCCCAUAAUGGAUAACGGUCGGAUGAAGAAAAUGACAAAAUUGAAUAACGGCGUAGUUGUUACCGUUAAUACUGUUGGAAUAUCCGGUGGUUAAAAUACAAUAAUACGCGUGGUUGCAUAGUAGCACACGGUAUUGCACAGUAUUGUUGAAUUAUUGAUUCUUACGUAAGAAGGCACUACUCAAUAAUUGUUACAGUAAUUACUGUUCAAUAUUUUAUUUUUAUUGAUUCAAUAAUUGCUGCGUUGAUAUUUUAUAUUAUUGUUUCAAUAAUUAUCACUGCACGGUAUUUUCUAUUAUCAGAUCAAUAAUUAUAUUAUUUGGAAUAAUAUUAUUAGAUAGCAUUAUUGGCAAUGUCUAGAAAGUUCUGUCAAGGAGAGGUUUGUUCACCUAAUUGCGCGCCAGUAAGGAGAAAUUCUUACCGGAAAGCCCCCUCUUUCCUGGGAACGGCCUGAUUGUCAUAAAUGUGAUUCUGUAAUAUUAUUUAUGAAUAAUUAAUUAUUGAUUCAUAUGAUAAGGAAAUAUUUAUUUUAUAUGGAUAUAAAUGAUGGAUUUAUUUAUGUGGUUAUAAAUGAAGGAAUUAAUGUUGAGGUGUUUUAUCAGUAUUUUGUCGGAUUGGAGGUAUUAAAAAUCAAACCAGUGGUUUUUGAGAUAUAUUGCAGGAGUUAUAAUUUUUAAUCCGACCAUUGGAUCGUUGUAAUUUUUCGAUAUGUUAUACAUAUAUAAGUUGAGUAUAUGUCCACAAAUUUUGAACCGUUAAAAAUGAACGUAUGAUUUGUUAUGAAUUUUAAGAGGUGACUGAUUCAGAAAUUAGGAUUAUAAAUGAUUUUGGUGGAAAAUUCUAGAAUUGAGUGGGCCCCACUUGUGGUUGGUGAAGAAAUGUGCUGAAUUUUAUUUCAAAUGUGGUGGGUAGGAAUAGUAACAGGUAAAGCCAUCAGGUAGCAGGUCAAGUCUGCUUCGCCGUGCUAACAUUUUCCUAUAAAUAGAGGGCUAAGUUAGAAUUAAAAAUUACACCAGAAACAAGUUUUCUCUCUUUCUCUCUCUAGAUUAUUGAGUUUAUUUUGUGAGUAUUUAGAUACUUUGUGAGUUUCUAUUCAUCAGUGCAAGUUUCCUUCAGUCUUCUACCGAUAUUCUGAUCAGAAGUACUGAUAUUUUGAGGUAAGGGGUGUUAUAUUCUUCUUAAAAUGAUAUUUUCUUCAAUAUCAUUAUGCCGAAAUGUUGGUAUGAACUUUUUAUCAAAUUUAGAACUUUUUGUGUCGGGGUUACUAUUCACGUAUACGAUACUAUUCACGUACACGGCACUAUUCAUCGAAAAAUGAAAUUUUUUUCUUUUUGUCCAAGUUGUUUAUUAUGGUUACAAUCUUUGAUUGUAUCCAUGUUUUGAUCAUUAUUCUUGAAUUUUGCUUCAAAAUUGGUUAUUUCAGAAUAUUAUUGAACUUGGAUAAACUGUAAUAUGAAUCCUUAGUAUUUGAUCUUUUAUCUCACUGGAUUCAUUUUCUUUAAAAUAUUUUUCAUCAUCCUCAGUCCUAAAUGAUGAUACAAAUGAAUAUCUUUGACCUGUAGUGCAAAGAUGAAUGAUUACCUAAUGAAUAUCUUUGGCCCGUAGUGCAAAGAUGAACAGGUGUUGAGAUGAACAUGACCAACUGGUGAUACAAAUGAAUAUCUUUNNNNNNNNNNNNNNNNNNNNNNNNNNNNNNNNNNNNNNNNNNNNNNNNNNNNNNNNNNNNNNNNNNNNNNNNNNNNNNNNNNNNNNNNNNNNNNNNNNNNNNNNNNNNNNNNNNNNNNNNNNNNNNNNNNNNNNNNNNNNNNNNNNNNNNNNNNNNNNNNNNNNNNNNNNNNNNNNNNNNNNNNNNNNNNNNNNNNNNNNNNNNNNNNNNNNNNNNNNNNNNNNNNNNNNNNNNNNNNNNNNNNNNNNNNNNNNNNNNNNNNNNNNNNNNNNNNNNNNNNNNNNNNNNNNNNNNNNNNNNNNNNNNNNNNNNNNNNNNNNNNNNNNNNNNNNNNNNNNNNNNNNNNNNNNNNNNNNNNNNNNNNNNNNNNNNNNNNNNNNNNNNNNNNNNNNNNNNNNNNNNNNNNNNNNNNNNNNNNNNNNNNNNNNNNNNNNNNNNNNNNNNNNNNNNNNNNNNNNNNNNNNNNNNNNNNNNNNNNNNNNNNNNNNNNNNNNNNNNNNNNNNNNGAGUUGGGACCACCAGAAUUUAAGGGAAAGCCGGAUCCGAUCAUGGCGGAAACGUGGGUCAAGCAAAUUACCAAGAUAUUCGAUGUCUUGGGAUGCACGGAGGAACAGAAGGUUCCAUUCGCCACCUUUAUGUUCCGCGGUGAGGCAGACUACUGGUGGGAUUCUGUGAAGCGUACCCAGCCAGCCGCACUCAGCAUGUCUUGGGAAACAUUUCAGAAACUAUUCAAUGACAAGUACUUUCCUGAAAGUAUUCGUCAUAUGAAGGAGGUGGAGUUUAUUAGACUGGAACAAAACAACAUGACGGUGUCCCAGUACGAGGCGAAGUUUGCAGAGUUAUCCAGGUUUGCACCUCAUUUGGUCGAAAAUGAGGAACGAAUGACAAGGAUGUUUCUAAGAGGUCUAAAGCCCGAGAUUCGGCAAUAUCUUAUCUCUCAUAAAUUUUCUUUAUAUUCAGAUGUUGUAAACAGGGCUCAAUUAUUAGAGCGAGAUAAUGAGUAUGUUCAACCAAAGGACCACAACCAGGGUCAUACCGGUGGCAUCAGUCAUCGAAGCAAUGAAAACUAGUAGGGAGGAAAACAUUCGGACAAAAGCGGUAACCACUCUGGUGGUAAUCGUGGUGGUGAUAAUAGAAGGAGCGAGUCGGGAGGAGAUUUCAAGAAGAGAAGGUACACCAAUGAUAACGAGCAACGGUCGUUUAUUUCAAAUGCGGGAAGGAGGGACACAUCAACCCAAACUGCCCACAACAAUCCAAGGUGUGUUAUAACUGUGGAAAUGAAGGUUAUAUAGCUAGAGAUUGUCUAGUUGCGAAACCAAGUUCAACAGGGAUGGUGACUCCAAAGCCUGUCCCGGAAAAGUCAAAGUCGGUGGUUCCUGGAAGGGCGUUUGUCGUGACUGCACAAAAUGCGAGGAAUCCAAACGAGGUGAUCACGGGUAAGCUUAUCAUAAACUCUUGCGAAGUUUAUACCUUACUAGAUACCGGUUCUACCCAUUCUUUUAUUUCUCCUUCUUGUGCUCAACGUUUAAACUUGACUCCAGAGAAAUUAGACUUUAACUUAUCUGUUGAGACUCCGUUAGGAGAAAUUUUCGUUACAUCUACUGUUUUUAAAUCUUGAAUGAUUAAAGUCGAUACCAUCACAUUACCUGCCGACCUUAUUUCGUUGAAAAUUCUUGCAUUUGAUGUGAUUUUGGGGAUUGAUUGGUUAACCACGCAUCAUGCUAAAAUUAAUUAUUUUCGUAAGGUUGUUAGUUUUCAUAUUCCUAACCAACCUAUCAUGCGAAUUCAAACAACCAAACCAUUAAAAUCAAUUACUGUCAUAUCAAGCCAUAAAGCUAUUCGUUUAUUGAAAAAUAGAUGUCAAGCUUUCUUAGCCCAUGUCACAGACUUGAACAAAAAACACGUUAGAUUUGAAUACUAUUUUCGUUGUUAGUGAAUUUCCUGACGUAUUUCCUGAAGAACUUCCCGGUCUACCCCCAGAACGUGAAGUUGAAUUCUUUAUUGACCUUGAACCUGGUACAAAGCCCAUUUCUAAAACCCCAUAUCGAAUGGCUCCUAUUGAACUUCAGGAGUUAAAGGUCCAACUACAGGAGUUAUUAGACAUCGGUUUCAUUCGUCCUAGUACGUCUCCUUGGGGUGCUCCUGUUUUAUUCGUAAAGAAGAAAGACGGGAGUAUGCGACUUUGUAUUGACUACCGAGAAUUGAACCAUGUCACCAUCAAGAAUAGGUAUCCGCUACCUCGCAUUGAUGACCUGUUUGACCAGUUGCAAGGAGCACAAUUCUUUUCAAAGAUCGAUCUUCGUUCUGGAUAUCAUCAGCUGAAGAUUAAAACUGAGGAUAUUCCAAAGACUGCCUUCAGAACUCGGUACGGGCAUUAUGAAUUCUUAGUCAUGUCUUUUGGAUUGACUAAUGCUCCUGCUUCUUUCAUGGAUAUGAUAAACUGUGUAUUCAAGGAAUAUUUGGAUCAGUUCGUUGUUGUCUUUAUUGAUGACAUCCUCAUCUAUUCCAAAAGCCGUGAAGAUCAUGAGCAACAUUUGAAGCUNNNNNNNNNNNNNNNNNNNNNNNNNNNNNNNNNNNNNNNNNNNNNNNNNNNNNNNNNNNNNNNNNNNNNNNNNNNNNNNNNNNNNNNNNNNNNNNNNNNNGGAACACAUUACUAUGGAUUUCGUUACGGGUCUUUCCAAGGUUUCUCAAGGCAUAGAUGCGAUUUGGGUUAUUGUUGAUAGAUUAACUAAGUCUGCUCAUUUCUUGCCUAUACAGGAGACUUAUUCCCUUGAACGUCUUGCUAGUAUGUACGUGAACGAGAUUGUGAGAUUGCAUGGCGUGCCAGUAUCCAUAGUUUCGGAUCGUGACCCAAGAUUCACUUCACGAUUUUGGGUUAGCUUGCAGAAAGCUAUGGGCACGGAUUUACGAUUUAGUUCGGUAUACCAUCCUCAAACGGACGGACAAUCAGAGAGGACAAUUCAAACUCUUGAAGAUAUAUUAAGACUCUAUGUCCUAGAUCUCAAAGAGAGUUGGGAUAAGUACCUACUAUUGGUGGAAUUCUCCUACAACAACAGUUAUCAGGCGAGCAUAGGUGUGGCUCCAUUCGAGGUGUUGUAUGAAAGAAAAUGUUGUUCUCCAGUAUGCUGGGAUGAGGUGGGUGAAGCAACAUUGUUGGGACCAGAGUUGGUACGCAUGACUACAGAGAAGAUCCAAACGAUUCGACAACGUAUACAAAUGGCACAGGAUCGAAAAAAGAGUUAUGCAGAUCUUCAUCGGAAGGACGUGGAAUUUAAUAUUGGGGAUCAUGUAUUGUUACGUGUUGCACCAUGGAAGGGAGUUACAAGAUUUGGGAAGAGAGAAAAGCUCAAUCCAAGAUUUGUUGGUCCAUUUGAGAUUCUUGACCGAAUAGGAAAUGUGGCCUAUAGACUCGCAUUACCUCCAAGUAUGUCUCGUGAUGUAUACCUAUUUUAGGGGUGUCACAAUAUCUGCAUUUAUAAGAAGUCUCGAACCUAACAUUGAGUUGGACAAAGCUGGUGUACCUAUGUAAUGGCAAAUAUUGCAUAGUUAAUAAAUAUAUAUAUUUGGAAAGAUAUUUUGCAUACAAAAACGUAUUAGUACCUUUCCAGAACUUGAUUUUUUCAAACUAUAAAACAAUUAUAAUAUUUUUUUGAUUUUCUGUUUCAGCAAAGGAACAAAUUUGGUUUGCAAAGUCAUCCCACAAGGUGCAACUCAAUACAUUAUGACUGUUAGAAAAAUAUAAUGUAAGAUUAAUUUAAAUGAUUAUAGUUAUUAAUAAAAGAAGUGUUCGUACAGUAUAAAAAUUUACCUGUUAUCAGUUAAUUCAAUAUUAACUCUCUUGCUCUGUUUACCAUUGCUUGUACUGAUUUCAACACUCCCUAUCACAGUUGGUUGUCCAAUAACAUCUGAUUAUAUGCAACAAAAUUAGAUUAUAAUUAAAAAAACUCAGGAUGUAAAAACCUAUAGGGAUAAUUAUUGUUAAACAUACCAACUAAGUAUGAAUCAUCAACCGCAGAUGAUAGUAUUUGGUCAUAUGGAGUGAAUUGAAAUCCAUAUGUAUGAAUGGGAGCCUCAUCUAACUCUCGCAGUGAGAUGAAAUAUAAAAAAUUAAUUUUGUAUGGAUGUUGAGUAGCUCUGAAAGAACCACCAUUCUGAUUGACAACGAAAUUGGUGAUUAUAAAGUCUUAAUGUUCCUUGACUGUUGUUUGAAAUUUUGUAAAUAGAGACCGUUUGAUAUUCGCUUGUAUUUUGGUGUCCUAUAAAAGUAUAAUAUGCAUAUGGUAAGAUGUUGUAAUUUGGAGUUGCGUAUGUAUGUGUUUGCAUAUAUAUAUAUAUAUAUAUAUAUAUAUAUAUAUACACACACACACCUUUUCAUCCAACAAUACCAUCUCAAUGCUGUUUAUGUAGUCUGCUUUGUUGAAGCUUGGCAUAUUCCAGAGUCAAGUUAUCCUUACUUUAAUAUUCCAUGUCUCUUUGACAGGGCUAAUGUCAUCAACAAAAUCGUACCUAGUCGUCAUCUAAAUAUUGGGAUAGGUAAAAUAAUAAGGAAGAGUUGAAUGUUUGUAGCAUGAACUGUUGUGUAUUGAGUUGGUAUUUAUAGCCAUAAUAUCAUAAAUUAGUGAUUUUUUUAGGAUAUAAUUAAGUAGUAAUUUAGGGGAUUACAAAGUAUAUAAUUAAGAUAUAACAAUGAAAUUACAAAGGAUAAUAUCAUAAUUAAAUUACAAAGGAUAAUAUUAAAAUAGUUGAUAUAAAUCUAAAAUCUGUUCAAAUUUAUAGUAGUGAUUUAGGGGAUUAUAAUCAAUAAAUUAUGAGAUAACAAUAAAAUUACAAAGGAUAAUAUCAAAAUAUUUGAUAUAAAUCAAAAAACUGUUUAGAUUUAUAGUAGUUAUUUAGGGGAUUAUAAUCAAUAAAUUAAGAGGUAAUGAUUAAAUUACUAAGGAUAAUUUCAUAAUUAAAUUAUAAAGGAUAAUAUCAUAAUUAAAUUACAAAGGAUAAUAUCAAAAUAGUUGAUAGAAAUCUAAAAAAGGUUUAGAUUUCUAGUAGUUACUUAGGGGAUUAUAAUCAAUAAAUUAAGGAUAAUGUAAAAAUUAAUAUGGAUUCUUGAUCCAUGGCAUAAUUGUAUAAUGAUUCACACUCAUUUGAAGUCUUUUGUCAUUUGAAGUCUUUUGUCACUAAAAUAUGAUAUUCAAGAAAAACAACCGAAUACAUAUAAAAUUGAUGAUAGAUAAUACUACUUCAAUUUUUAGUCAUUUCAAGCAAUCAUGCCUUUACACAAUAAUAAUUUUUAAAGUUGGAGUAAUAGUGUAAUAUUUUAUGUAUGAAAUUGAUGUGAUAAAAGUUGUUAAUUAAUGACUUAGAAAAAGAUGGAUAGACUACCAUACAUCCUUUCAGAUUUAUUUUUUGCUUGAAAUUGGCAUUUCAGAUUUACGUACACAUUUAUUAUUUUUAGCUUGGAAUUGGCAUUGUCGUGCUACUUUGUCUCAUUUUUUAAAAUGAAGGUCUAUUUAGACAUCAAAUUAUUGCAGAUACAGAAGAGUGUUCCAUAGUUGUCACUUCGACAUUAUUAGUGCACCCAAUGUAUAACCUCCAUAAUGUUAAUUAAGUAAUAAUAUGAUAUAAAAAAUAUUAGUAAUAUAAAUAAUAAAAUGCUAAAAAACUAUACUAAUAAAAUUUUAAAUUAAAAUUAUUAAUACCCUUCCAUAUAUAAUUAAUUUUCCAAAAUAAUUACAUAUAAACAAACAGAAGAAUAAUUAAAUCAACUAUUACAUAUCUAAACUUUGGAGCUAUUUAAUGAAAUAAAAUCGUUAUCUAUACAUGGGGAAUUUUUUUUGUAGAGUAUUGACAAUCCAAUCUAGUAAAUAAUUUUAUAUUAAGGUUGUAAAAUGGUAGCGUAGUACUACCACCAUUUUUCAAAAAAGCAAUUCUUAUCUUUUAUCAUAAUAAACUUAUACAAAUUUAUUACAAAAAUUGUGAUGUGAAUUAAUUUAAAAUUUGGAAAAUGUUAACCAAAAAACAAUUUUUGGUUAGUAUAAUCUCCAAAUUUGUUCAGCCAUUCUUGUAAUUCUAUGUAUGUGCACACCUAGAGGGGGGGUGAAUAGGUGUUCAAGCUAAAAGUGAUAAACAGUGAAAACUUUUUCUAAUUUUCUGGUACAGGUUUAAUUCAGACAGCUGUGCCUGUCUGUUUUGGUGUCUGGAUUAGUGGCGUGAAUAACAAGAAGUGCAGAACGUGAAUGACAGUUAAAGAGAGAAACAGAAGUAAAAAUCACACCAAGAUUUUUACGUGGUUCAGCCCCUAUCCUCUAAUCUAGUGGCCUAAUCCACGUCCAAUCCCAACUAGGAUUGGAGACUCUUUUUAUUAAACUUAAUAUUCAAUUAAAUACAAUAAAAAGAACUCCCUGUUACAAAGAAGCUUCAAUUCUGAUGAUGGACACCAAUGCCCCCUUUGCACCUCUGCAACUUGUACACCUCUGCACCUAUUCUCACCUCUGAGACCUUUAAAGCCUUCUAUGAACAGACUAACUAAAACAGAAAAUCUCAAGCAAAAACUAUGCUUACUUUUGGUUUACAAGGAAUGAAAUUUCUAGCACUAAAGAAUAUAAUAGAUAAGAAUAUAUAGUUGGAAUAAAACAAUUGAUAAGCUCUGAAAUAAUCUCUCAAUUUGAAUGCUCGUUCUCUGUUGUUUUUUUUAACAGCCGAAGAGAAUGAGUAUAUAUAACGAGAAUAUGCAAUGGCUAUAAAAUCUGUUAGCUAAGACAUCUCUGUCCCGUUGACAACCAACCAUGAUCUCAGCAGCUUUGAAUCACAAGCAGAUAUGCACCAGCUAUUAAGUUUUGAAGAGCUGAAAUCAAGGAGUGAAACUCUACCCACAAUCAACUGUGUUAAACCGGAACAAAAGGAGAUAAAUAAAGAUAAUACUCAAAAGCCUCAGUAGCACUCCUUUUUAAAAUAGACUACUAAAUAAUGUGGGCUCCACUAAGCAGGAUAACAUCUUUAAUUAAAUUAUCACCCACGAGAUACACUGAUGAAACAGAGGAGCCAAUUUGGGCUAGCAACAAAUCUUCCUUGAUAAUAUCAGUUAUUAUAAAUACCAACACCAUACCUUAAUAAACUCUAAUCCAAAACUUCCUCGAUAUCCUCCAAGACAAAUAGAUCAUGCAAUACCCAUAACUUAUGCAUAUCAAUUAUAAUAUUAUAACCCAUAAUCCAUGCAUAUUUAAUACCUUUUAUAAACCAUAAUCCAUGCAUAUUUAAUAAUAUAAUAACAAAUCAUGAACCAUGCACAUGUCUAAUAUACUGAAAUUAGUCAUCAUUCAAAACAUCAUAAAAUCAAAAACCAACAUUCUCCCCCUUUUUGAUGAUGACAAUUUAUGUACCAACAUGAAAAUUACUUUAUCCAAAUAACCAUCAUUGUAUAUUCCAAUAUAAUAUAGUAUCUCAAUAUCAACAUGAAUACCAAUUCAAACCAAUUUAAAUAUACCCAAAUAUCUCUCCCCCUUUGUCAUUAUCAAAAAGAAAUAAAUCAUCAAGUUAUAUCUCUCCCCCUUUGUCAUCAACAAAAAAUAAUUCAUAUCAAUUAUGUUGAAGAUAGUUAUCUCACCCCAUUUGCCAAAUUAAAAAAAUAAGCAUGAAGAAUGACAAUAGAACAAGGUUAUAACAAAAUCACAUAUAGCAAGUAAACAAUAUAAUCAUACCUUUGAAAUUUGUUACCUAUAUAUCAACCUUUAUCAAGAUUAUCAUGUGUAUUAAAUAUGGAGCAUUUGACAUAAUAAAUGAUGUUAUGAACCCUUGAAAUCCAUAGAGUUUUUUUUUAUUAUAAAAAUAUAUCUAAUUAAAACUCUAUUUAAAAAACAACAUGAGGUACUUACAGAUUCCACCAAAUAAUUUAUAGGUAACUUACUCUCUCAAAGUAAAGAAUCAUCCAUCUCCUUUUUGAUCUUGAGACACCUACAAACAAAUAGUCUCUAUCUUUUUGGUACCCAAAUCUUCUUGGGUCCUUUUGGGUUAGUAGCAUAUAAAUCACUUUUCUUUACCCAAAUUUGUUUUAUUCUAAUUUUAUUGCAAUUAGAAUCAAAAUGACCUUUAAAACCACAUUUUUUACAAGUAACAAAUGGUGAACAAUAAAGUGGUUUAUGCCUUGAUUUACUAUUAAUCAUUCUAAUAUUAUUAUUAGUCCUAUUUUCCACAUUUUUAAUAGGAUUAUACCCAAUCCCUUGUUUAUCAAGACUGGACCUUUGUGCCCCUAACAUAACAUUUAGGUUCUCUUCUCCUUGCACAAAUUUAGCAAGAUCAUUUUUUAAAGAUGUUAUUUCUGCAUUUGUUAUAUUAUUAUCAUGUUGAACAUUCUUCAUUUUUCCAUCAUUAAAAGCAUCUAUGCAUGCAUCUCUCAUUUUCAAAUUUUCUUUUAAAAUUUGAUUUUCCUUUUUAAGAUAUUCAUUUUCUUUUCUUUCUUCAAUAAGUGACUCAACUUCAUUCAUUAGCUCAUUUACGCAGUUCUUAAAAUAAGCAGUUUUCUUUUUAAGCCUUUGAUUUUCAUUUUGUAAAGCAAGAUAAUCAGAUGUAGAUAUUUCAAAAUUUUCAUGAAAAUUCGUUACCUCAAGUUGAUCAUCGUCUUCUAGUCCCAUGAAACAGAGUUGGACAGUUUCUUCUUCUUGUUCCGUUUUGUACUUACUCACUGGAGUUGAGCUACCUUUUUGAUUUUUCCUUUGUUUCUUCCUUUGAAGUAGUCUCUCGAGUUUUCUUGAGAGCAUUUCAAUUUCUUCAUCAAAAUCUUCAUCAUUUCCUUUUAUACAGCUUUCAGCUUGUAGAGCCAAAGUCUUCUUCUUAGGUGUCUCAUCUUCUUCAUCGUACAAUUUUAAUUGGUUUUCAAACUCUUCAAGUUCUCCAAAUAAGGUAAGAGUUUCCAUUGUGCUAAUAGUGACUGAGUCUUGAAGUGUAGUAACCUUUGGAGCGAAUCGCUUUGGCAUGACUCUGAGAAGUUUUCGGUUGAUUUCCUUUUGAUCAAUCUUUCGUCCGAGUAUGUUUAGAGAAUUCAUUAGAGUAAGGAAUCUUGCUUGGGCAUCUCUAAUUGAUUCAUUUUUCUCCAAUUUGAAUUGUUCAUAUUCGUGCAUUAACAUGCUCAGUUUGACCUCCUUCACUUUAGUUGUACCCUCGUGGCUCAUGAUGACUGUGUCCCAAAUUUCCUUAGCCGUAGUACAAGACGAGACUUUAUCUAUCUCUGACUGAACCAUGCCACUUAAAAGUGUAUUCAUGGCCUUGGAAUGAUAAGAUACCAUAUACAAUUCAUUUGAGUCCAUUUCCAUGAGAUUCUUUGGCUUGCCAUCAUCAUGUCGCGGAAUGACUAGUCCAUUUUCGACUACCCACUAUUCCCAUGGGUCACGGUUCAGAUAGAUCUUCAUUCUGAACUUCCAAAAAUUGAAGUUUUCACUUCCUAGCAACAGCGGUGGCCUACUUGUGGAUUGGCCUUCUUGAAAGUUUAGGUGUGCCAUAGAAUCUUCCCCUACGACCUGCAACGAUCAAUAUUAGUAGAGCCUUGCUUUGAUACAAAAUGUAAUUCUAUGUAUGUGCACACCUAGAGGGGGGGUGAAUAGGUGUUCAAGCUAAAAGUGAUAAACAGUGAAAACUUUUUCUAAUUUUCUGGUACAGGUUUAAUUCAGACAGUUGUGCCUGUCUGUUUUGGUGUCUAGAUUAGUGGCGUGAAUAACAAGAAGUGCAGAACGUGAAUGACAGUUAAAAAGAAAAACAGAAGUAAAAAUCACACCAAGAUUUUUACGUGGUUCAGCCCCUAUCCUCUAAUCUAGUGGCCUAAUCCACGUCCAAUCCCAACUAGAAUUGGAGACUCUUUUUAUUAAACUUAAUAUUUAAUUAAAUACAAUAAAAAGAACUUCCUGUUACAAAGAAGCUUCAAUUCUGAUGAUGGACACCAAUGCCCCCUUUGCACCUCUGCAACUUGUACACCUCUGCACCUAUUCUCACCUCUGAGACCUUUAAAGCCUUCUAUGAACAGACUAACUAAAACAGAAAAUCUCAAGCAAAAACUAUGCUUACUUUCGGUUUACAAGGAAUGAAAUUUUCAGCACUAAAGAAUAUAAUAGAUAAGAAUAUAUAGCUGGAAUAAAACAAUUGAUAAGCUCUGAAAUAAUCUCUCAAUUUGAAUGCCCGUUCUCUGUUGUUUUUUUUAACAGCCGAAGAGAAAGAGUAUAUAUAACGAGAAUGUGCAACGGCUAUAAAAUCUGUUAGCUAAGACAUCUUUGUCCCGUUGACAACCAACCAUGAUCUCAGCAGCUUUGAAUCACAAGCAGAUAUGCGCCAGCUAUUAAGUUUUGAAGAGCUGAAAUCAAGGAGUGAAACUCUACCCACAAUCAAUUGUGUUAAACCGGAACAAAAGGAGAUAAAUAAAGAUAAUACUUAAAAGCCUCAGUAGCACUCCUUUUUAAAAUAGACUACUAAAUAAUGUGGGCUCCACUAAGCAGGAUAACAUCCUUAAUUAAAUUAUCACCCAAGAGAUACACUGAUGAAACAGAGGAGCCAAUUUGGGCUAGCAACAAAUCUUCCUUGAUAAUAUCAGUUAUUAUAAAUACCAACACCAUACCUUAAUAAACUCUAAUCCAAAACUUCCUCGAUAUCCUCCAAGACAAAUAGAUCAUGCAAUACCCAUAACUUAUGCAUAUCAAUUAUAUUAUUAUAACCCAUAAUCCAUGCAUAUUUAAUACCUUUUAUAAACCAUAAUCCAUGCAUAUUUAAUAAUAUAAUAACAAAUCAUGAACCAUGCACAUGUCUAAUAUACUGAAAUUAGUCAUCAUUCAAAACAUCAUAAAAUAAAAAAUCAACAAUUCUCUGUAAUAUGUAUGGAACUCUACUAACCAAAAAAGUAAUGCUGAUGGUUGUGAUCAGAUCUUUCAAUUUUGCAAGCUGUCUUGAGAAUCUUAUGGCAUAACUCAAGAUAAAGUUCUGAUUUGCUUCAAUAGAUAAUAUAUUGCAGGACGAUGGAAAAAUGUCUAAACAGUGAAAACUUCUAAGCAAAAUAGAAAUUUAGAAAUGUGUAGCUCAUCGAGUACGUUGUUUAUAGUAUUACAUAUAGUAACACUCUCGAGUCAUAGAAACCAUUAGAUAUACAUAUAUACAAUUGUAUCAUGUUGGGGAAUCCACUUUAACCAUAUAAGGAAUUAGGUUAAAAAAAGAAAACCCCUUUACGAUAAAGGAGCAAGGUUCUUAUUCUCUAUAAAAAAUGACAACUGUAUCAAAGCCUAACUUCAAAAAUAGUAUCAAAGGGAUAUUAUUGUUAUCUAACCAUACCUUUUUCGAUUUGCCAAGGAGAUUUGUACGAUCACAUAAGUAAUAGUAGAUCAAAAGGACACCAAAUUCUGAUCUACAAAAAUGGGAUGAAAGAAAGAAGAGAGUCAGUGAGAGUAUUGAACAUCCUUAAUCACAUAUAUGAAGAAAAUUAGUUAUUUAUCACAGUAGAGUGAAAAUGAGUAUACAUACAUAGCUCUUAGUGUCAUUCGAUUUUCAAGUAAAAAAGAUUCUUCCAUUAGAAAAAACUUAAAAUUAGACAGAAUGAAUGCACAUGUCAAGUUGUAUAGUUAAAAUUUCUAAUUGAAAUAAAUGAAAAAGGCAGAAAUUUUACACUAAUAACGAUCAUUAUAUCCAAAUAAUUUCAGGAGAUGUAAUACUAAAAUAAUCAGGGUUUACACUAAUAAUGAGCAGCAAAAAUAUAAUAGCUAGAAGAUGUCAAGCCUUUCUACAUUAAAUUAUGAAAAACUUCCUUGAAAACUACAUUCUUUGUAGUAUUGUAUGUUUUUCCAUCCUUGUCACAAAUUAAUAUUUUCAUUCCACUCUUGCUUGUAACUCUUGAUACUGCUACAUACAAUUGGCCAUGGCUAAAAACUGGACGUGACAGAUACAGUUCAACAUGUGAGAGAGAUUGCCCCUGACUCAUAUUAAUUGUCAUGGAAAAGCAAACAACCAAAGGAAAUUGUCUUCGUUGGAAUUUAAAAGGUAAUCUAAUGUUUGAAGGUGUUAAGACCAAUCGAGGUAUGAAAACCCUGUGCCCAAAAUUGCCGACUGAAAUUACUCUUGCUUCUAUCACAUGUUUUUACAAUUGAGUUACUAUUAAUCUCGUGCCAUUGCACAAACCAGAACACUGAUCUAUAUUUCGGAGCAACAUUACAGGAACCCCAAUCUUCAACGUUAGCUUGUGGUUGGGCAUUCCAGAAGAUGUAAUGCUAUUCAAAAAUUCUGGUGUGUAAACGCCUUCACAGCCGUUUGAGUUUUCAUCAACCUUACAUACACUGUCCGAGCUUAGAUAUGUUACUUCAUCACCUGGCCAUAAAGACAUCACAUAUUCGUUCACCUUAUUUACAGCAUCAAGUGUAGUAGCAAGGAUGGCUCGGCCUUGGAAAUAAAAGUCAUCGUCAAAAUUUUCCAAUAAAUUAGGAUAUGUGCUAUCAACAAUUACUGCAAAGGGAUUGAUUGGAUCUUUUAUAAGAAUAUCAUCAGGGAUUUCUACAUCUGCUUCACCAUCAUUAGGUCCACCAAUUUUGCCAUCUCCAACAUUCAAUAUCCAAUCAGAAAAUUCUCUCAAAUCCUCUAUAUCAGAAUUUGAAUUUUGAGAUUGAAGUCUCAUGUUCUUUGUUAAAGUUAAAACCUUGCAAAAACUCUACAAAUAUGAUGAAUUCAGAGUUGCUAAAAUGACGUCUUGUCUACUGGCCUUGGGAAUAACAGGUAAUAUCUGUCUAAAAUCUCCACCAAAUACAAUUACUUUUCCACCCAAUGGUUGAUCUAUACUAUUCGACUUACUAAAUCUUAGGACAUCUCUUAAUGUUUUAUCCAAAGCUUCAAAACAAUGUUUAUGUACCAUUGGAGCUUCAUCCCAUAUAAUAAGUCGAGUUUUUCUAAGCAACUCAGCCAAUUGACUUCCCUAUUUAAUGAUUAAACUGAGGUAAGAAAAGAAAAAAUAGAUCCCCUACAUAUAUUAUCUUAAGCAUUCAAAAACACGAUAAAUUCAACUUCAGUAAAUCAUAGUGAAUCCAAGCCUUAAUUUCACCGAUCAUUAAUUUCAACUUAGGUACGUGACAUAAUUCUCCAACCAUACAAUACAGAGAAGAAUAUAAGAGACCCAAUACCACCAACUCACAGAUCCUAAAAGGCAAUGCUACAGUAGUUUAACAAACACAAGAUCUUAUUGAAUUCAGAAUGAAAAAGUUGAUGUUAGUGCUUUUUAAAAGUUGUUGUGCGUUAUGUUUCUCUAUAAAUCUUUAAUUAUUGCCAAUAAAAAAAUUAAAUUUUUUAUUUCAUAUAAUAUACUGACAUUUAAAAGUUCCACAGAAUUUAAAAAAGAAUAAUCAUGAGAUUGAUGCAGCUCAUUAUUGAACCAAAUUAUUAAAAAAGAAUAAUCAUGAGCUUGAUGCAGGUACCGGAUCCAAUUGAUGGCACUUGAGGGUUACUAAAGGGUUUCUCUCUUUUUCCUUUUUAUUUAUUUUAUUGAUUUGGAUUACAAAGGAUGAUUUAAUGAUAUGCAAAAAAGGCCACACAUUCAUCCAAAAAGUUUCUACAAACAAUACUUUAUAUAAUACAUGUAAUACCAACCCAUGAGAACAACUACUUUUCAAUCCAAACAUAGCAGCUAAUACCCAUAUGAGAAAAAGGCAAAGUAGCAUCAAAUGUUGAUAAUAAUUUCAUAUAUUAAGCAAGUUCCAUAAAGUAUUCAUCAAGGAAAUCAAUGCUCAAACCUUCUUGAACUGCUGCAAAUCAGCCACAAGAAAAGGCCACACAUUCCUAUACAAACAAUACAUUAUAUAAUAUAUGAUUUUAAUUGUUAGAAUACUUGUAUGGUUUAAUGAUCCUUCUGUUCAUUGUCUCUCAGAUUUCUAUCUUUUUACUAAAUAUACACAUUAUAUUAAAAAUAUCUCAAAGAACUAUUUGUGCAUCUACUUUUUAUGUAGAUGGUCCACAAAGAUAUUUCAAAUUGAAGUAAAUUGUUUAUGUUUUUAAUAACAACAAAAGUUUUAAGAACAAUACUACAUGCGUACACAAAAAGUAAGUUGUGCACAAAUAGUAGAACAUAUGUAUUGCUUACCAAUAAAAAUGUUUAAAUCAUCUGAUCAAGAUCAUGUUUAUCAAUUACAAUUUAUGAUCAUUGUAUUGGUUAUAAAUAUUGUAAACCAUCAAAAAAUAUUAGUCAUUAAAAAUUUCAAAUUGAAGUAAAUGCAUGUUUAUGAAUAACAAUCUAUGGGCUGCGGAAGUGUUUGGCAUCACCACAUCCCAUAAUAGAAGAAGGCACUUUUCCCACUCUAUCAAUUCCUUCCUCAAACACUACUCCCAUUCCCAAGAAGAAAUGAGACUCUAUAUGGCAGUGGAAUGCCCAAGUACCAGGAUUAUCCUCCCGGAACCUCAAAGCAGUCCAGCCAUAAGGAUGAACCGGCACUGUAUUCUUCAUAAUUGGAUUCACCAAAUUGUAACUUUGCGGAUCACUAGACUUGUUAAACUUGCCAAUGCCAUACCCCAAUACCCAAAAAUCAUGCCCAUGGAGAUGCCAGGGAUGCGUCUCGCUAUUGUUCGGGUUCAUCGUGUUGGCAUUUUGAAGAAUAACAUCCACUGUGUUGUUGAACUGCAACCUAUAAACCGAGUUGCUAGUAGUAGUGGCAUUCACAUUUUUCGCCACGCUGAAAAUGUCGUAGUUUGUAGAGUCAUAAUUAUCCGGCGGAGGCGUUUGCUGGAGUAAUUUUUCUUCCUUAAGCGCGAUUAGAUAAGGCGUGUGAGGGAGGUUAAAUGAGACAUUAUUUACGGACCAACGAACAUAUCCAUUCACUCUAUUUUGAGUGUUGAGCAACACAAUCACUCUGUCUGAAGUUUUAGGGGGAGGGUGGAUGAAUCCUUGGUGCGACUUAAUUGCCAGGCUUUGAUUUAGUCUUGGGGCGACGUGGUUCCAAAUAGGACCUGCAGGUGGAACUGUUGGAGGGGAUUUUUUAGGAUGGUUGGGAUAGUAAUUGAAGAUGGCCAAGGCAUUUGGAGUUGUACUAUUUCUGCUAACAACUUUUGAAAUAGACCAAUAAUUUCUUGAAGGGUCUGAUCAGCUUUGAUUAGGACUGAAUACGUUUCACCCGAGUAAAUAAAUAGAUUUUUUACCACAAAUGGCUCCACGUAGUGGCCAUCCGCUUCCACAACAGUCAUAUUAUGCCCCUGCAUUUUUAAGAAAAUAAUGUUUAUUGUUCAUUUGAAUAUUGUUUGUUUACAAGCAGUAUAUUACUAUAAACUUAUUUAACUCAUAAACUUACGUACUACAACCACAAGUAACCGAACAUACCCCAUAGUCAGAAAAAUAAAAAAGUGUACCUCUAUUUCGAAACUUAAAGCUGACAGAGAAGUUAAGCUUCCGAUUCUUAACCGAUAUGUUUUUCCCGGAACCACGGUGAGAACAUAGGGCGAACAUUGAGGAUUAGUAGCAUUACAAACACCAUUCCCAACACUCGGUGAGCUGCAGUUGAACCUUCCUUUCCCUUGUAUAAGAAGUGACUGAAAUGGUCAUAAACCAAAAUUAAGACCAUGAUAUUUAUGUAGCAUAAAAGAAAAUUGGUAAUGCAUGUGAAUUUACCUGAGGCUCCCCAACCCAUACGAAGGGAAUUGAAGAAAGGCCCGUAGCUUGUUCGUAGGCGCUGUUGUGGUACCAAUCGUUAAGAAUAAUGCUUCGAUCCAAAUCAUAAGAAAAAGGCUCGACUUCCCCAUCCGGCAGAGCUACACGAAUUGAUCCGUAUAGGCCAGCUUCCCUUUGCAUACCAUAAUGUGCAUGAUACAAAUAUGUUCCAGCCUAAAACAUAAAAAAAUGAAAUUUAAUUAACCCAAUAUGAAGUUGAGCUUGUUAGUUGUUACUAAAAAGUAAUCAAGACUAGUGAAACUUACCCUAUCUACCACAAACUGAUAUGUAAAGGUAUCCCCUGGCAAAAUUGGACAUUGACUCACCCCUUCUGUUCCAUCAGCCCAAGGUGUUCCAAUCUGUAAUAAUCAGACAAAUUAUGGAUCAUAAACAUACCCAAAUGACUGACGACAUGUUUAAAAUGCUUUUUCAAUUAUAAUCCAAAGCUUGGAGUACGUUUGGUCACCAAAUGCUAGAUAUUCAAUUCACCUGUCUGAUUCCAUGCCAAUGGAUAGCAACAUUUUCAGUUAACAAACUGUUCUUGAGCUCCACUAUGAUUGUAUCGCCUCGCUCUGCCCUUAUUGUCGGUCCUGGAGAUUUUCCAUUGACUGCAAUAACAAGUUUCUGGAAACAAUCCGGAGAUUUAUACUCAUAUUUUACAUCUGGCGAAGAAUCUCGGCUUAAGCGCACAUAGGGCAUUUGCCUUUGAUCCUAGCCGACGUUGGAACAGAUCCUUAAUGACUGGCGUAAAGGGCAACCUUCCCACGGUAUCUCUUGAUACCCUUACCCGACGUGCUUCUUUUCAUGUUAUUGCUCUUGCCGCGCUUAUUCUUCUGGCUCCCUAUGCUGUGUGUGGCCCCUUUUUGCUUGAAAGCGGUUCAAAAUGGUCAUACUAAAGGAACGGUGAAAGACCUAUUUGAGUGAUCUUUCUUCGAAUCUGCUUCUUCUGAGCCCAGCCACCUUUUGGCUCGCUCCGUAUACUCUACUCGUUCCCUUGGUUUCGUCCUCCCAUUCAUGCAUGAAGUAGAUCCACGAAAAGGACAUCUUCUAACUAGAUUUUUGUACCGGCGAACUCUAGCCUCUACACAAUGAAUAUUUGUUAUUAAAGAAACAAAUAGGAAUAGGGAUAAAGCUAGUAGCUUUAUCAAAAAUCCUCCUCUCAACUGCAAAAUCUCAGCCAUGGUCCUCCUAAUUAAACUUGAGAUAGCUAAAUCAUAAUAUAAUUACUAUAUGGUUGUUUUGGAAAGCUCCAUGUAUUUAUAUACCAACUGUAUUUUGACUAUGGAAGAUUAGUCAAUUGGAACGGCUAGUAACUUGUAAGCAUACUUCGUACUCGGUCUACUCCAAAAUUAAGAAAUAUUUUUUUAUAUUCAUUUUAAAGUUAAAAAUGGUAAAAAGGGAGGUGACUAGGAGAGGGCUAUUAGGAGAAGUAUAUAUAUAUGAACUUGUCUGAUAUUAACUAUCAGAAAAAUUAUAUGUUAAGAUUAGUACUUGUUACUAUAUCCUUAAAACAAUUAUAUCCUUUUUUUUGGUGCUUAGAGUUAUCAGCAUGUGUCUUCCAGAAUAUAAUGACAUGUGUUAUAACAAUACUACAAAUAACACACAACGAAUCAAAUAAAUGUUCUGGACUCUCUCAAAUAUACUAUGAAUAUGACUGAAGAAAUGAUGAAAAAUUGAAUUGAAUUGAAUGCCUCAAAUGAUUGCCUCCAUAUGAUAUUUAUAGGAGGAUUUAAUGACACUUCAGAUUGGACACGACUUUUGCGAACCGACUGAACACGAAUGGAAAAGAAUGGAUGAAAAGACAUGGCUGAACAGGUGCGUCCACAUGAGCAGAAACGCUUCAAAAGCAAUCAGCGCCGCGACUCUGGAUAGCAGCGUUGCGGCGCUAGACCAAUCCAGAGACUUAGAGUUGCGGUGUUGUGUCUAGGCAUUGCGGCACUAGAUUAGCCAGAAAGUUAGCGUUGCGGCGCUGAGUCCCAAAACGACACAGUUUCAUUCACUUAAUAAUAAAUAAAAUUAACCAAACUAAGCAAAACAAAAUUUAAAGAAAUUUUGUCCAAAAAGAAUGUAUACAACGAUCCACGAGCCCGAUCCAUCGACUGCAGCGCAUGUGAUAAACCUGAAACAAACCUUGGUUAGGUCUUCUCAAAGUGGGGUGCCCCUUAUGGCCCAAACCAAAGAGCAAACUUAUUGUAUAUAUAUAGAGAAUUGAUAUUUUCACAAGCUAAUUUGCUAUUUUUACAAAUAAGUCCUAUUUUUAACUAAAUCAACUUUUUGUGAAGUAGACUAACUAUAGGAUUUAAUUAUUUUUUUUAAAAUAUUAUUAUUAUCAUAAAGGGUACUCCAUCUAAGAUAUCAGUAUAUAUAUCAACGACUUUUAAUUUCUUGUAUUAAAAAAAAGGGCUAACAAUCCUCUCGAGCUUUGAACACAUCACAUGCCCCCAUAAAGUUAGUUUAUAAAUCUUGAAAAACUACCUAAAAUGGCAAGUUGGGGUUGGUAUGAAACCGCGUUAUUUAUUUUAUAAAAUCAUAUUUGCAUAGAAAUAGAAUAGGCUUAAAGUCAGAUUAGCUCCAUUCAACACAAGACUUUGAAAUGUAUAAUCUUGCAAAUGUGAUUUUACUUGAAAAAAUGUCUCAAUCUUUUGGUCGAUAGACUUUGUACAAGGCAUUUCGAUCACAUCACAUCCCCCUUGCCUUUAAAUUUCAUUAUAUAUCAUAUCAUGUAGGGAAAAAGUUGUGGCCUUGUGGGCCAUUUUUAAUAUGUUUAUCAUUAUGGUUGACUUUCUAACACAGAUUAGAUUGUACAAGAGAAAGGAAAAGAGUUUACAAAAUAUAUGUUUCUAUAUUAUAUUUCUCACAUUUAUUUAUAUGUAUGGUCUUAUAUUUAUUCAUAGGGCAGCAGCAUAGGUAGCUAACUAUAUAUGGAGGCAGGUUUAUGAAAAGUGUUAAAUUUAGAGGAGAUAAAAAAAACUUAAAUUAUUAUUUUAAAAAGAACUAAACACACAAUGUAUAAUGUAUUUAAACUCUCGUUUUUUAAUUUGUUAAAUUUUAGUCAUUCACUUCAGUUUUCAACCCAAAAAAUUCACACCUGCUGCGAACAGAUCCUGCAUCCGUCCCUGAACCAACAACUCAUGUUGGGAGGAGCCAAAUAUUUACGGAAAAAAUAUAUUAUUAAUUAAAUAAUUAAUUAUUUUUAUAAAUAUACAAAAAUAGAAAAUUUUGUUUUAGUAAAAAUGUUAUACAUAUAUACACACACAUACAUAUUGAUUGUUGAAAAUUUCAUCUAUUUUAAAACAGAGGUAUAUUAAGAUAUUUUCAAAUAUAAAGCUAAAAUAAAUUCAAUUAAUUUUAGACAAAUAAUUAAAAAAAUUGUAAACUAAUUAAAAAUAUUACUAAUUAUAAAAUUUAUUAUUUGUAAAAGUUAAAAAUUUAAAACAAUCACAAAUUUAAUAAGCAUAAAUCAAAUUAAUAUUAUAUUUUAAAACAAAUAUUAUAAUAUAUCAAUUAAUUUUAAUAAGAUUAUGAGUUAAAUUAAUAAAAGCUUAGAGGUAUAAAUAAAACGGAUCUGGUUAGCUUGAAGUUUAAUUUUUAGUAAGUUGGUCAAUUGACCAAUAGAAUACUGACACACAUAGAACUUCGCCUGCGUGUCAGCAUUCUAUUAACCAAUUAACUAAAUUAUUCAAAAAUAAACUUUAUAUUAACCACUUCCAAAUAAAACUAUAGAAAAACAGAACCGGGUCAUGGCGGGCCCCGUCCAUGCCUUAGGUCACUAGUGAUGCGUCAUAAAGAAUAUAUAGACAAGUAUUAAACCCAUGUGGAACCUUAAAAAAAUGGAAUAUAUUGAUAAUGAGUCCUUCUACAGGUACAGUUUUUUGGGAUUGGAAAAUUGGAUUGGUCCAAUUUUUAUUAUUUUUUAUUUUUAUUUUGACUCACAAAAAAUUUAUAAUAUUUAUUUUAACUUUAAUUUUUACAGAAUUUAAUAAUUUAAAUAUAAUUUGGAUACAUAUAAAAAACAGGAUUAUACAGUAUGUGCAACCCUAUUUUUUAUAUGUAUCAAAAUUAUACCUAAAUUACUAAAUUCUAUAAAAAUUUGAGUUAAAACAAAUAUUAUAAAUUUUUAGAGAGUCAAAAAAAAAAAAAAAUCGGAUCAGUCCAAUUUUCCAAUCCCAAAAAUCUGUCCGUCUAGACUUUUUUAUUGAUAAUAUACAUCUUCAUACCUCCCGUGACGAGGUUUCAGAAGAUGGGGAAUUUUAUAAAUCAACAUGUCAGAAUCCAUAUCCCUUAUUUCACCAACAGAGGAUUUCAGGUUUCUAGUUGUUUUUAAAACAAUCUACCUAUCAACAUCUAGCUCUACAAAAUGUUAGGGAAACUCAUUGAGAAUAUAUAUAUAUAUAUAUAUAUAUAUAUAUAUAGAUAUAUGGGAAACGAUCUGUGGACAAUGUUAGCUGAGAACCCGUGGACAACUAACGCUCAUCCAGCCGUUCAAAAUUAGAGUUAAUGGCUGAGAUGAGCUCCCAGCCGCUAGAGGGAGUAGCGGCCAACAAUAAUUUUAAAAUUCCUCUUUUCUGGCCGCUAGAGGGAGUAGCGGCCAGGAAAGAGGAAUUUUAAAAUCAGGGCAUUAAGGGAAUUUGGCCAAGCCGUUAGUGGGACUAGCGGCCAAAUUCACCUUAUUAGAUCUAACAUUUUACUCCAUUCUCAUCCAAAUGCUUAACAUCUGCAGAAAUAUAGCUUCGUAAAGAAUCUGCUAAAUCUGAAAUCAUUGGUUUGUGCGAGAAAUUAUUGGUAAGUCAUGAAAUCCAUAAAUGUAUGUAUCCAUAUAUAACACAAGGUUUUAAAAAAAAUGUACAUACAUACAUGGUGACUUAAAAUUCACGGUUAUUACAGAGGGGGGCAAGAACCAUGCUUUCAGAGAAGUGGCGGUCCGAAUCUUAUCUGAACUGCGAGAAUAACUGACUAAGUCGUGCCAUAAGGGGUCAUUCUCCAAACGGGACGGGGCCAAACCUUUAGGUUGUUUAAGUAGGUUGGGUGACAGAUCGGCCAUAGGAGUACUCCGGGAUAUAAACUAGGGCAACAAAAGUGGUGCAUACGACGAUGCCGCCCGUUUUCAUUUCGUGGAAGUCCCCAGCAGAGGAAAGGGCUGUAGGUGAUGGCGCAUUAUGCUUCUUAUCUAGAGAGGGGCGCUGAAAUCUGGGUCGUGCGUGGCAGCUGGUAUAGAUAAAUAAAGGCGGACCGCUUGAACGGGACCUAUUCUCUUAAUAGGCGGCAAAACUGAAUAGGAAAGGGGCCGAGCUGACUGAUGAAUGCCUUUUUCACCUUUUUAUAAAGGCUCUCAUGUGGAGCUAACAUGGCUGGCUACAUACAAGUAUAGCCAAAUCAAGAUGAGAUGAGACGGACGGUCAGAGGCCGCAGCGGGACUACCAUAGGAAAGACCGCCCCCGCAAGCUAAUAUAGAAAGAGAUUCCCGGAUAGUAGUAGUCUCAAUGUGAAUCUCUUCCCGACCGGGCCAGGCCGAAUCGGGCCACCACUUGGGAUGGGAAUGGCUCAGCCCAUAUGCAUCAUUUGAUGAAAGCACUCCAGUCGCCUCCUCGAAGUGGUUUGUCAACCACGCUUCCCUCCCUCAAAACAAUGCUCUGAACACGAAUGAAAGUGUGCAGUUCCACCCCCUUCUCCCAUGCUGAGUCACCGGCAGCGCCUCAGAAAGUACGGACGAGCCACAUGCAGGGAAACUUGCACGUGUGGUUCUGGCCGGGGACCCCGGUAUACUGUACUAAUAUGUGUAGGUCCCCGUAAUUCGAGUGAGAUUGUCAUGGCGCAAAAGCAGAUAGGUCCGGUAUUCCCUUGUUCCCUGUAUUGGUUAUGUUCUUUAUUUCUCGUCUAGCAGAAACUAAUCGAGCUCCGUUUGAUCUCCCAAAAGCGGAAGCUGAAUCAGUUGUAGGCUAUAAUGUAGAAUAUGCAUGGGAUGCGAUCCUUAAUAGUUCACUAUUGGCGAAAGCCAAUGUCCCUGGGUCCCGGGGACUCAUUCUGACUGAAACAAAGGGCGGGUCUUUACCAACUUCAACAUCUUAUAUUUUAGGGAAGCCAAAAAAUGUGAGCGCCUAGCGCGAGCCUUAUUGAAAAGGCCCUUUACUAAUAUAAUAGAAGGUAAGGCCAGCUUUCGAGCUGUAGCUUUACAACGAUAGGGCUUAGAUAAGGGCCCUUCAUUUUUAUUAGUAAGAUAGGUUGCUUGAGCGCAUUAUCCCCCCUUCUAUUUGUAAGGUUGUCAAAAGGUAUCGAUCAAGGCGAGACUUUAGUUUUCAAUAAGGGGCAACAAGCAACAGAUUGAGCUGCGCGAAAGCCGUUGCUCUAAUGCCUCGUUACGUAUACUGAACUCGCUCGUUAGCCCUUGACUAAUAGAAAGCAAAGGGCUUUUCUUGCUUGUUUAGUAAAGUCUCUCUUUUUGAUAGGAGUAGGUGCUUGCUAGGGUGGAGCACUCUUCAUUCGAAACGAAUGAAUAUAGGGUUGGGGGUUUCUGCCUUGUUAUCAAAAAGGGGGUUGGGUAAAGCAAACUCCCUCCUUGAACGAGCACGGGGUUAGUCAAGUAGAACCGGGUUGCGCUGCUUGAUGCUCCGAUCGAAAACAAAUAAGUGGGGCCAUGCCGGUACGACUGAAUAUGCGUUAGAAAGGUCAAUCCCUCCCCUACGACACCAAAAAUCGGGCCGAACUUCCGCCCGCUUCCAUAGAACAAUAUCAUGGUAACGUAGACCUAAGUGGUCAUAUUGGAUCCUUGGGAACCAUCACAAGUAGGAACCUGCCUAUAUUUGAACGAGAAUGCCGUGUCGUCCAGCGGAGCCUAGAAGAAGGUGACUCGCGCAGACAGCUGACUCCUUUUCAAUAGAAAAGAAUAGCCAAACCAACCCAGCUGGCUGAUCAAUCUCGGAAAUCUUAUCGGCCGGCAAACCAGAGACGGACGACCACGGUCCCGACUUUACCAGCACCUGAGGUGUACUAAUCAAUGAACCCCCAAAACCUACUUUCUUUUCUGACAAAAUAAACCAAGCCUAACUGGUCACGACAUGUUGUUGAUAUUGAUUGAGUUGGAGGGACUUUCGCUAACUGAAUCCAUCCGACCCCGGUAACCUUCGUAACCAAAGCGUCACGACAACAUUAAAAGGUAACCUUUGGAUUCUUAAGUGGGGGGCAAGGAGGAGCACGUAGGAAUGCCGACCACUACAUAAGCCACUAGUGGCUGAGAGAAAGCGAGCAGCAUCUUGUAUAGGUUGGGCGGAGCUUGAAGAAGCGAGCCCCUAUCAGAGAAUACCAUUGCGCGCUAGCCUAGCUAGCUAACAUUUUUCAGCUGGCUGUUAUGUUAAUUGUAGCGCGCCUUCCCUCCUUCUCUCACUUCGGAAAGAUUUAGCAGUAUUUUCUUAUGAUGACCUGGUCAAGAGAGUACGAUACAUCGGUGUAAAAGAUUGAGUUGGAAUUCACUUGACCUUCUAUCCGGAUCCGCAAAUUUCUUCAUUCUUUUUGCGGGUAACAACGGGAUAAAUCAACAUUUCUUCGCCACUAUUGCGAGAAAUUGUGGGCACGAGGAGACCUCUUGCAAGAAUAAGGGCUUUUUUUCGGUAUACCGCUCCGCUAGCAAGGAGCGCCACACGCACAAGCAAAGCAAAUGGAACUCAAACCUCAUAUGAUGAAUAUGUUUCGACUGUUAUCUACUAGUCUUUCCUAUAUUGAAAUACGAUUCUUCAUUCGCUUGCUACUCCUAUCUACUCUGUUUUUUCUUUUAUGGAUUCUUUGGUUGAAGAUGGGUUGGAUUUACUAUUUGCUGGUCCUACUUUCAAAGGUUGGCUUCCUUCUAGGGGCUCGCACCCUAUCUUUUUUUGUUAUUAAAGCUAGGCUGCUCAGGACGUCUGGCCUUGGCCAUUGUCUUUGCUGUGAAAGCUCUUCUCACUUCGGGGGUCGAACCAAAUAUGAUGAAUCCUUCGGAUGACUCAUCGUCUGCGCCUUCUGCCUUGGAAGAACGAACAAAUGAGCUCAUUCAGGAGAAUUUAAAAGAUCAAAAAGGAGAUCUCGGAGAUGGACAAAGGGUUUCCGAAGUUCGUCAAGGAGUGGAACAUGACUUAAACGUAGAAUAAAAAGAGAGAAGAGAAUUGAAUAGAAGGGGGAGGAUAAAGAGGCAUUAGCAUUAGAGCAGAAAGAGAGUUCAAAGAAGUAGGAUGCUAGCCAAUGCGUUCAACAGGGGUUUACCCAUUGAUCUUAGAGCUAGCUGCCUGACCUCGGCCUUUGCAACCGCUAGAAUGUGGCACGCCUAUGCCUAUGGAUAUCAGAUUUACAUUUGACUGAGCUUUCUUUGAGGUCCUAAUCCCUUUCUUUUCUUCCAAAAUAGAGAAAACCCAGUACCCCGAUCUAGGCUUCCAAACAACUCUUCCCGAAUACACAUAUCAUAACGAAUGGCAGAAAGAGAAGGCGAAAGGGCUCGCCCUCCAAUCAAAGGGCGAAGUGAGAGCUAUGGCUGGUAUAAUGGGUUCAGCGGGCGACUUUUAGUCUAAAUCUCUCAUGGCCGAGUACAGCUUCAGACAGCUCACUGGCUAAAUCGUAUAAGAGGGCAUUCCGAGGAAUAACUCCUGUCGAGAAUAAAUAUUACUUGCUUUGGGACUUCGAUUGUCUACCUAUCGCUUAAGACAGAAUUGGAGGAUGUCAGCCCCUACCUGUUAAGUAAGGCGAGAGUCAAGCCUUUCCUUUCGCUCCUUCCCCUAGAUCAGUCUGUUGCUACUUGCGGUUAUAAAGAAAGGGUUAUUGGCUUUAGGCUGCAACCACGAAGGCUGGGGAUUGACAAACAACAGCUCCAGCAGCUAGAUCUUAAAGAUGGAAGGACAGAACCACUGAAUGCAACUAUAGGGGGCAUCCCUAGCCGCCUUACGGGAGGAAGAGAAGUUAGGGCUUCGAGGAAGACUUGCAGAUAAAAUAGAAGAGAAAAAGGUACUACCUCUCUAUAGGGAAUAGGAAAGAAGGUUACUUUUUAUUAUAUUUCACGAUCAGGUCCCGCUACCAAAGGCGGCUCGGACAGUCAUUGCCGAAAGCAGCACAUUCCUUUUUUCUUUUUUUUGCCCCUGUCCAGUUCAAGAACGGGGGCACCGGGCGGACGAAGAACAACUUGGGCAAAACGCACUUUCUUCAUUUACUUCAGCAACCCUUGCUCGACUAUUGGACAUGGAAAUGAACAACCUCGCAGAGAAUUCCCUUCUUACUCAUCCACACAUGCCCAGUUAAUGCACCCAACAUCAGGGAGAUACAUGAUUUCUCAUAGGAUGUACACCUUUCAACAAUGCACACUCGACGGACUUUUUUGAUAGAACUUUCGCAAACCCUCGGCGAAAGAACUUAUUGGCCCGCGGACAUGACACUGACAAAACUACCCCCUUCAAUAAAAGGAUUGACGGCUUGAAUAUCUACGGGCCUAUCUUCUUUCAAUUCGAUUUGACUCGAACGUCCCUCAACUACCGAUUUUUCUUCUGAAAUUUCUAGUUACCUUAAAGUCUCACUUCUUUUUUCUCUUUAUUAGUUAGAAAUACAUGUUAGAACCAAACCAGGAACUACAAAUAGACCAGGGAUGACAAGAAACGGUGUUCAGAAACAGGCUUCACAUCCUAUUCCAUGGUCUCAAUAGUCUCGCAGAUGAGACCUUCCCUUGCACACGACGAGCAGGGGUUGAAAGCAAAGAAACUCUUCAAUGACUAGCCAUCUCGAACAUUUACCCAAGGAAAGAUGGAGCAGCCCGUUCUGGAAAGCUAGCUUCAUCACGAGUAGCUUCACCACUGCAAAUAGAAUAAGCCGCGGGCCUUCCUUUUAUAGAAGGGCUUUGGCUUCUGCCAAUGCUGCUAGAGGGUGUCUUUGUUUAUGUAACUUCCAUCUUAUACCGAAGUACUGAUACAAGCUCAGUCCCAAAACCUUAUUUGGCCUUUGAGUCCUUCUCGUGCCCCGAACCCCCAGGGGAAAAGGCAUAAGCGGGAAUCAGUGGAAAGAAAGAAUAUGUAGUUGUCGGAGAUGCUUUGUUGUGCUUCUCUGAUUGGGAAUUUGCGGAUUGGGAAAGAGAUCUGAGAGUUCUGACUUCGAUAGGUCCUAAUUCCACCAAAGCAGGCUUGGCAUGACGCCCAUUGUCACUUCCUUUUCAGUUUAUGCGCAAGGAUUUUCCCUUUCAAAAGAAUCCGACGCGGAAAGGGUCACUCAAGCAAAAGAAAGGCCCACAGCCUAUUCGAAAUCAAAAGAAGCUGACGAUGGAAAUUCAUGUAGAGCAGAUAGAUUCUCCUUAAGAAAGCUUUCCCAAUAGGCGCAUCUCUUCCUUAACUCUUGUUGAGUAAGAAGUUCUUGUGCCUCUCUAGCCUUUAGCACAGCACUAGGAAUUGUCUAAUCUAAGGGUCUACCCGCUUUGAAUCUCUUGGAGUAAGGGCAUUAGGUCUUGUAUCUCUUGAUGGCGGUGUGAUCGUAUCUGCUCUUGAAUAAGAAUUGCUUCAGUAAGCCAAUCACGCACUCUUCCGCGUCCUUAUUUGCCUGAAAGCGAUUCCAGGAAAGCCUAGCAUAGAGCUUUCUUGUGAUGAAAUCGCUUACCCUCAUUUCUCUUGGUAUACCUACCUGUGUGCCUCCGAAUACCAUGAAGUCCUUGGAGCAUGUGCGAUUUCUUCAGGAUCCUUGUCAAGAAAGAAGAAGGGAACGACAAUUGUCUGCUAAUCGAAGAUAAGAAUGGAAAGAGAGAGCCAAAGCAGUAACUUAGAGACUAGCGUACGAUUUCUUGUAAGUCUCAGGUUAGCAUCCUAGCCCAAAGAAUCCCAUCAUGGGUGAAAGCACAAUUACAACUGUCCAAUCUCGUGCUGUAAGGGGUUCACAGUACUUGCUUUAUUCCUUUCUUUCUAACUUUCCUGAGCGAGGGAAGGGAGAGGGUAAAUUGUUUCCUUCUUUUAUUUCGUGCUUGCUUAUGGCAGGCCCUUACUGAACUGAGGGGUGGUAUUCGCGCAAGAGGGCUUCUUCUUUCGCCGCUUCCGCUCCUUCUUUAUGGAUAUAAGGAAAGUAAGCUCUCCCCCUUCUCUCUUUAUAUUAGAGAGCUUCCUCUGUUUUCCUUACAUCAAGCGCAAAUCGGACAUUGAAGGCUAGAGAGGAGGGUAUGAUUCUUGCUCAAGCCUAAAGUUCUCAUUCCUGCUUUCAGUCAAGUCUGAGUUCAGUUCCUAUUGAGCAAUUAGUGUCAUUCUUUUAAAAAUGAAUAUCAGAUGUCCAAAUUGAUAGAUUCUUUCACAGCAAAUUAAAUACCUCUAGUAGUUCCUUCUAUGACAUCGAUUUCAAUUCCGUAUGCAUCCUAUUCUUGUCAUGUCCCUUAUACGAGACUAGUGCUAUAAGUUCCCUCCUUUCCUUCUCUAGCCUCUUCCCCAGCUUAGAAGUUCAGUUCUUCCUUCCCUUAGCUUACUGUCUUUCCUGAUGGUGAAUAGCUGCUCUUUGAUUUGAUAGAGGAAGUGACAUCUAAGGGGAAAUAAGAGAUGGCAUCUAAAAGGAGAAGGCAAAGGGACUAAGAAAGAGUGUCUCAAGAAGGGGCUUUGAGGGAUGACUGAUUUACCAUACUUUCCUUCGACGCAGGAAGCAUCGAAUUGCAUUAGUGGGAUAGCUUACUUCAUUCAGUACUCCCCCAAGCCAGGAAAGCUAGUGCUCGUGAAUGCGCUCCUCAUUUAGCCCUGUGACUCGUAAAGGAAGCCAUAGGCUUCGGAGCUGGGCUUGGAAAAAUCCCGAUAGCCUCUUCCUGAACGCUCCAUUCUCGGUCAAGCCGCGUGAAGGGCUUCUGAUAAUAAUGUAAAUAGAGCUCGUUCCGCUACUCGCGCUAAUCCAUGAUCUAAUGUUCUCGCUUGGGAUGGGAAACGAGGGAAUUUGGAUAGCAAGGAUGGGCUAGUUUCCUCCUCUCGCUAUGGUCUACAUCUAUAUGUGGCUCCUCCCGCUGUGCUCGAGUCACUUGACGCUCCUUUCGCGGUGUUAGAUGUCAGAGUGGUCCUGAGGCUCAUCCCUCGAUGUGAAUUGACCCUUUGCCUUUGAUUCAUCAUCUUAGUAGUUUUGCCUUGAACCUGCCGAUGCAAACUGAGAUUCAGAAUCUGACCUUGCAACUAAGCGAGGGCUGAGGUAACGAGUGAAAUCUCUCGACUAAAAGGAAAGGAGAUGAAGAAGAAUUAGAUCCGCAAGAAAGAGAGAUCAAGAUGUAGAACAAAUAAAAUCGCUUUACUCACGGCAUUGCCAUUCCUCUUGGGGAACUAUACCCCACUCCUGAGCCAGGAUCAAACCCUCUUUUUUGAGGAAGAUUUAUAGCUCUUUGUCACCCUGGUUACGAGCCAACGGUAGAGCAAAUUCCUCAGCUUCCACAUAUGUCAAAGAAUGCAUUGAUUUCGCAUUUGUCGACCAGUGGAUCGAAGAGGAACUAUGUGUGCCCGAUUGACAAGAACCAAUAUCCGCUAAGGAAGAUUUAUACCUGCUGUGUGCCAUGACUCCUCGAGGGCUAGGAUGUCUUGAAAUGAUCCCUUUUGGGACUUCAAAAUGGAUACAAAAAUCUCGUUUUUCAAAUUAGUUUAUUGCGUUGCGCUUUAGCUCAAAAAAGCUCACUGGAUAAAUGGAGGAAAUGGGGCGCAUUCGGCUCUACCUCUCGCGACAACCCAUCGUCGUGGUCGAACGUGGAACAUCAAUGAAGAACUUCUUAGAACGACCACUAGGGGUGUUCUAUAAUAGCUAUAUAUUGCGUAUAGAUAAUAGAAUCUAUACUAUAUAUGUAAUUUUUUGUAGCUGUGAUACCCGAAACUCAGGUUUUUCUUAAGACAAAAUGGCCACAGAACGCGUAUCCGAACUCGUGUACUAAUAAAAGGUUAGAAAGGGUGCUGGGCCUUGCCCUCAAUUAUGAGGAUCAACCAUGUUCUUUGUUGGGCGAGCACGCAGAGAGAGAUGCUCUUGACUCUUCUUAUCUUCGAGAGAAUGGGCCCUUUGACCCUCUUAUUCGCCUUCCAAUUGUGUAGAUAUUGAACCCUAUUUAGAAAGCAGAAAACAAGUGGAGAAUUCGUACGUUUAGAAAAGCUAGGAUGAAUUUCUUUAUCUUUCUUCUCUCUUUACAGAAUUGUGAAGCUGGCGAAGAAGGUAGAUAGUUCGACCUUUUCGUCUAUUAUAUUAUGUCUCCUUGUCUUUCCGUGGAUGACAUGGAGCAGUAUCUAGAUGACCUCAUUGAGAAGUUGCCAGUUCUCUGUGAGCGUUAUCUGGGAACCAUCUCUUCCAUUCCCCUUGAACAAAGGAUUAGAUGGGAUCCUACAUGGAAAUCCUUCCCCAGUGCGCAUUUUCUUUUGUCAACAAGUUCUUUGGAAAGAAACUCCGUAGUAUCCUUCCUUGCGCUUUAUUUGAGUUGGCUGUGUACGGUUAUUUAUCUACUCUAACCUGGAUGAGUUCGAUAGACUUCACACAGGAAGUGCUUUGGCCUUUCAGAGUCCGUUACGCCUUUGAUGAGAAUAAGAGUCCUCUGACGUCAGAGGACAUUGACGAGUAUGAGGACAAUGUCUCGGCCCGCAUGAUGAGUCUUGAAGACCUUCCAGAGUGUGGGUUAGAUCUCGAUGGAUGACUGUGUGCUACCGUGGAAGGAGGAGGCAAGCGGCGCAUCUUUGCCAUUGGAAAUUCUGUUAACCAAAGGUUUCUGAGGCCAGUCCAUGUAUGGCUGAUGAAGGUCCUCAAAAUAAUCCCGAUAGGUGGCACAUUCCAUCAGGAGCGUCCAUUGGUUAACCUGAUAGGUCAGAAUCACCUUUUUUAUUUUGAUUUGAAGUCGGAUACGAUAUUUCUCUCUUUUUACACUAUAUAUGAUAUUAUCGUAACUAUACUAAUAUAGACUAUAUAUAUACUAGACUACUUAUUUACUAGGAAAGAGGCCGAGCGCCAAGGCGGUUGCGGAUUAUGAUUGCCCGAUGGAAGUCCGGGUUUUCGUUAGCCCAUUUUUGUUGUCGGCUAGUAGGUUAGGUGUCAGAGAUUGGGCAUGGGGAUAGAGCCAGAGUAGUAGGGAUGAGGAAAGACCCCAAACGCUAUGCAUUCAACCAAUGGGACUAAAGCCCUUAUAUACUCCAAUAGUUCGCCUAGUGGCUUUAGAUACUCCAAGCCUUGGUCUAGUCCUUGCGAGUCUUAUACCAUAGGCUAAGGAGAUGGACCUAUUGAUAUGUAUUUAACCUACCCGCUUCUCUUAUAGAGCUUACUUGGUCGCCAAUCUCCUGCUCUAUUGACCAGAGAUGACAUGACUCCUUACGCAUGAACUCUGUCGACUAGAGGAGUACCAAUAGAAGACGACCCUAUGCUCUCAUUUAUGGGCUUUCACGAUCAUAAAUAGGGAUUUCUAUCGCUGUAAGGAAUGGGUUCAUGACCCUUUUGAAUCGACCUUAUUCUCCUACUUAUUGGGUUUCUCGGUCUUAAAUAGGUCGAUGACUACGACUGUUUGCAUACUCCACAACAAGGUGUUGAUUACCUUCGUACUCCGCUUUAUAGCCAUAUAUUUAACCGCCUUCUUAGGGCUAAAGAGUUCGCAAGUGGACCAGGGAUUGACCGGAAACACUAGUACUAUAUGCCUCGACCGCGACUUGCUGUGGUCUUGGGCAUGGGAAUAGAACCAGAAUAGAAAGCCGAACAAAGACCUUUAUUUAUAGGAUUUCUUCCAUGGCUUGCACCUACAUAAGCCAUACUGCCAUAGUCACCCAUAUCUGCAUAUAUGUCACUUCUUGAUCGAAAAUUGAGUGAUGCCGUGCCGUCGGGUUAGUUUCUUUAAUGCUGUAUUUUUUCCAGCUGUUUCAGCUCGUAAAAAGACUGACUUUUUUUCAUUUAGAUAUAGUAAAAUUUCAUGCUGCCAUUCGAGGGCAAAAGGAUAGAAGCAUGCCGAUGCGCGAAAUAGAUUCCCAGUUCUUUUUUUGGGGGGUCUCUUCUCUUUCGCAUGCGCCUAUAGAACGAAGAGUGUGAAUAGUGUGAUUGUAUGAUGCGAAGACCUUUGGCCUACCUGAUCAAGUUGUUAAAAGCCGGACUUUAUUCUAUAUAUAUAUUCUAAAAGUGUAUCGAAUAGAAAAGUGCAUCUGCUCUUCGAUCUGCUGCUCUAUUCGAGCCGCUUCCUUCAGCUUCAAUAUCGGAGGAGGGUAAUUUAGCGCUUAGAAUCAAUAGUGAGAUUUCACUUACCACACAACAAUAGGGAUAUGUUGACAAAGAAAUUCAAUUUCUUGAAGUGCCUGGCCCAAUCCUUUUAGGUAUUUUCGUGCCACGAUCUUCUCAUUGAAUAAUCAACGCAACUUGAAUUGGUUGUUCAUUGCUGGAUGAUAGAUUGUUUGGUGGUGGUUACUAAACUAAGGGUCCGCGAUAGACUGCCCUUCCCCUUCGAUUCCCCUGCUCUGCUAUUUUGAUUUUCUCAUCUCAAGGCUCAUAUAACUUGCCCCUAGUGGUAUAGUAUAGUUCUUAGGGGCAUCAGGGACAGCGAGAAGCUUCUCACAGAGAGAGAUAACUAGCAUAUGAAAGAAAGGAUGCUUCGCUUGCCAUUGAAGGAAGUUCCUACUUCUAGCGCGAAAGCAGACAAAGCAAAGGAGGGAGGCGGGCUAAAUACAGCCCACCUAACAGCAGCUAGAAAGGCUAUAGGCGCGAAAGAAAAGUGAGUAGGAAAUUCGGCAUCAUAUGGAACCGUGGAGCCAGCCUCAAGGAAGAGCUUUGAUCCUUGCCUUGAACCGACUUUCUAAUUUGCGUUCUGGGUAGUAAUAUCAAGUGAUCUGAUGAUAUAGCCUUUGUGGCCUGGUUUAAGAGUUUCCUGAAUGGAAUAAGCAUUCAAACUACUUUUCCUGGACUCACGAAAUGGGGCAGUCAGACGGUAAACCGCAUCAAACUACUUGAGUUGGUAAGCAGCGAGGCUUUCUGAUACGCUAGACUCGAAUCUGUUCUCUUUCUGCGAUUUCCCUUUCUAUCCGAGUAUUAGUACGAGUCAGGAUUCAGAUCUAUUGCCAAGCAUAAAGUCGGGCUUGAGGUAGUCUCAAGAGUCCUAAGUUGCUUUCGGGGCAUAAUUCCUUAUAUAGGCAGGGCGAGAGCUCCCCUUUCAUGGCCGGGUGAGCAAGCUUUCUUUUCUGAAUGUAGUCGGGAGAAGUAAGAUCUGUUAUCAGUAGGCAUGGGAUGAAGUCGAGGUCUGAUCCCGCCAGCAUUCUUUCUUCUUAAGGUUCUAUCAUCCUUAUCACUACAAUCAUUGUUUAGCCAAUGAUGGAUGUUGCACCGCAGCCACUACUUGAUUCAUUAUUUCGUUCGGGCGAAAAGCAUUCCACGCAGCCGGUCACCUUCCCUCCUCGCAGAUUGACCAAGUCAGUAGGUUUUUUCCGAGAAAGACGCAGAAGCCAGUAGUGGACCGUCUGCUAUCAGGACAGCCAGCCCAGUCAGCAUCGGAGAAUGUAAAGAAGGUGGUUAACAGUCCGGGAGUGAUGGUUAGGCCAAGGCCAAGAGAACCCUUCAGAUACCGCAAGAUGUGUGCCUGGAGAUGUACGGUGGUGAGAGAGUGCAUGAACUGACAAACUUGAUUGACAGCAUAGCAGAUGUCAGGUCUGGUGAGAGUGAGGUACUGAAGGGCGCCAACAACAGACUCCUCCUUCUUUGACAGCUCUUUCAACAGCACGACGUAUCUUGGCCGAGAUUCCGCCUUUUACUGCUGAUGUAGUGAAGCUUCCGGCCACUGCUUCCACAGCAAGACAGGUCCUAAGGUAGUUUUAGUGUACCUCUUCUUCUAUUCUAGUAUGCCACUCUAUACCUUAGUAUCCCGAUCUAGUGAGUUGUCAGAAUCUUCCUUGUCUAAAUCAAAGUCUUGAUCUUCUCCUAUCUUUCGGCAAGAGUAGGUCCCUUAUUGUGAUCUUUUCUUCAGUCUUACGUCACCGAGGGAAAUUAGCCAAUCAGUAUGUAGUUAGCCUUUGUCGACUCUUCCUUUGUUUCCUCCACUAGGCUUGGUCGAGUGAGCUUUUGCUUCCUCCACUAGGCUUGGUCGAGUGAGCUUUUGCUUCCUCCACUAGGGUCUCAUAGUAUGGCCCUUCCAGUUUAGAGUAUAGAGAGAAAUGCCAUAUAUAAGAUAGAAUAUGAAAUCUUAGUAGUAAGUACCCUUUAUUGAGUCCCUUUCUUCCUUCUAAGGAGUAACGAAUUGGAUUUGAACCAAUGCUUCGGGUCUAGUGACUUUCCCCGUGAACUUCCAUUAUUCGAUCGUUACAGAAAAGCCUGUUGAAAUCGAUUGCUUUGCUCUACUCUAUAUCGAGGAGCCUUGCAGAGACAGAGAAUAGAAAAGAAAAAAAGAGCGAUUGAGAAUCUCGAGAACCUUUCUGAACGUCUGGGGCAAUUUGAAAAGGAGUAUAUCUUUCUUGUAGUGCCUUCCAUUCCACUAUUCUGAUCAAGAAAGAAUCUCUUCCGAACGACCAAGUAAUAAUGAGAUUAAAAACCGAUGCUUCUUUGGCCGUGUGGAACAUGGAUUAGCAUUAUGUCAUUCCUACAAGUGAUCCCCCAUCCAGGAUUGGAAGAAGUGCUAUAUGAGGACUUCAAGAUCAAAUAGAAGAUGUUUCUUUCCAUUCCUCGUGAGCCACUUAUUUCUCCGAAACAAGAGAUCAAAGUUAUCUUCCUCCUUUUUCCCAAUAAGUCGCGGCCUUACACCAUUGGGAUACUUCGAAUAAACUGGAGUACAUAUAGGAUACACCGGUGCUAAAACCUUUUCUCAAGAUAUCUUCCAAACUGUUGGGGUCGCUGCUCCGGAUGUUUUUCUCCCGGUGUGAAACCAGUUGGUUCCGUAGUUUUAGAAUUUUGUUGAUCCCAAGUAGUCCAUCUCCAUCAUUGCAUAUGGGAAUAUAGAAAGUAAAGAGGAAAAGGCAUGACCAGAAGAAUUGUGUGAAAUAAGUGAAUUUAUCUAGUUGAGGCAUCUUGAUUGAAAAACAAAGGAUUCCCUCCAGACAGAAAGAGAGUCCUUCCUG